UUUUUUUUUUUUUUUGGGUAAGUGGGAGGUCUUGAAUUCAGACCUCUUACUUAUAAUUACAAGUGUUCAUAUUUCGGGAAAAAAAAUUGAAAAAUCAGCUGAUCCAAUUUAGAUCAAAUUUCAAAACAAUGGAAUUCGGAAAAAUCAAAAUAUAAUAUUCGAUAAAAUCGUUCAAGAAUGGAUAUUAAAAAUAUAUUACCGAUUACCAACCAAAUUAGUACAUUUUUUAUUACUAAAUAUAAGAUUAAAUCUUAAUCCUAUUACUAAAUACUAAUUUGUAAUUACUAAUUAGCUAACUUAAUUAUAAUUACACUUGGAAGUCAAAUUUUGAUGGAAGUUAGCGUGUUGGAGUUUAGUUUGACAAUUAAAUUUAGAAUUCUUGUUUAUUUCAAUGUUGUUUAAGAAUUGAGAUUAUGAGUUAGGGCUUAGGAUUAUGAACUUUUUUUUUUUUUUGCAUAUCAUUUUUAUUUGAAUUAAGUUGAUUGAAUUUUAUUAAAAACAUAUGAGAUAUUAUUUUGUUACAACAAUUUUUUUGAAAAAAAUUAAAAUAUUUAAAUUCACUAUUGACAUUUUUAAUUUUGGAUAUUACCGAAUUACUGAUUUUUCAAUCCAAUUCACCAAACUAAAGUUUGGAAGGUAAUCGAAUAUUAUUGGUUUUAAACAAUCGAUUCCUUAAUUACUGGAAUUUUUUUAAUCAAAUUUUCCAUUACUGGCAAUGGACGCCUCUACUGAUAAUCUCUCUUAUUUUAUCAUCAAACUCAACCCUUCCCCUAUCAAUACGGUAACUCUGCUGUCACUCUCUCCUCUUCAGAAGAAGUUAAGGAAUGAGAGGGCAGUCACUCUGCUGUCGCUUGGGACAGGUGGGAUUCGGAACAGUAGGAGGCCAUUUGAUAAUGAGGAGCCUAGAGAAUUUGCAGAUAGGUGUGCAGUUCAAUGGCACCGGGUUGCAGUUUACCCUGAGAGGUUAGGAGCGCUAACUGUGAAGCAUGCUGUACCAGGGUGAGCCUGUUUGGAUUUAUUUAGGCUUCUGUGAUUGACAUUUUGCAAAGGUUAUGGCUAUUAAGUGUUGAAAUUCUAAAAGUUAUUGCAUAUAACAUGUCAAACUCCUAUGUAUACUAACAUGAACUUUUAAUUCAAUUGAAAGAGGUGAAAAGAAACUUAGAAUCCAAAUUAAUGAAACUUGGAUUAUGUCCAGUGUUCUGCUGGUUUCUGAGAAACGACAGCUCAUAAUUGGGAAUUUAAUACUAAAGUGAGUCAGUUUUGUAGAUUACUUGGCAGACCACCAAAUUAGAUGGUUUAUGUUGUGGUUCGAGAAUUUCACCUUUUUUUUUAUUCAAUUUGUUGGUGUUUGUACAACAAAUCCUGCUCCGUAAGUCUUACCCCUUUAGUUGUUACUAUUUUUAUUGAUACGAACUGGUGGUCCUUGGGCAUUGUUACUAUGUUUAAUCAGUCUACUUUCUCAUCAUAGUUGAUUUAUUAAAGAUUGUAGCCUAUGGAGAUUUACCUUGGCUGUUUUUCUCUGCUCUCUCUCUCUCUCUCUCUGUUUCUUUCUACUGAGUUAGCUUUGAGCACGAUUCGCCCUGCACUUAUACUCAUCAGCAUGCACUGUUCUUCACUUAACAACCAUGAGCAUCCCUUGCUCCCACGUGUUAGUGCAUCAAUCAAUUGCUCACUUUCUUUUGAGUUAUGGUUAUAUCCUUAAUGUUAUUGAUGUUUGCAUCACCUCACAGAUCAGUCUUGUACGUGGAAGGAAAUCUGGAGACUAAGAUAUUUAAUGAUCCGAUAACUGGUCUAGUUCGACGUAUACGAGAGAUUGCAAUACGCCGAAAUGGUAAGUUUAUCACCGUGUUCCCACAUACUAUCAUAAUUGCACUGUUGUUAGUUAUAGUGCUUGUCUCCAGAAACAAGAAACUAUGUUUAUUGAAGGUACAGUAUCAAUUCAAUCUGUUUUAUUUUCUGAUUUCAUGUUGGUAAACUACAUAUUUCUGUACUUAUAUUGAUGCUGUUUUUUCAGCUAUUUGCCGCUCGGUGAUUUUUUUUUUAAGGAUGUUUGAAAGAAAUUUUAUGUAUGUUAGUCUAUGGUGUCUCAUCUCUUCUGAUGCCAAAAUAUGAAAGCAUUUGGUCACUUGAAAACCUGACUAGACUGUUUGCAUGACUGCUUAAUGAAUAGGAUAUACAGUAUCUGUUAACAGAUACAAAUGGAGCACUCCAAUUUUGCUUUUCAAUUGAUCUAUUCCUAUAAAGUUACAUGUAUAAAGCUUGUUCUGUCAAUGAAUUUUUGGAAGUUUCAUUUAGUACCCAAAAAAAAAAUGGUGAAACACUGAUAAUAUGGUGAACUCUGGUUAUGUGGGUCUUGUAGGUCGGCUGGUGUUUUUGGGACAAGGAAGUGAUAACCAGAAACCAUCACAAGGAGAUCUGAGAAGUGUUGGCUAUUAUUAAAGCGAAUCAAGUGUGAAAGCAAUGGGAGGCUCUUUGAGAGAGUAUUUUAAAACACUCUUGUAAUUAUGUUUGAGCAUUGCUUAGGGAGGAGAUUUGGGAUGGCCAGAUCAAGUCUGAUUAAGAAAUUGUACUAUUUGUCUUGCUAAUCUUGAUGUCCCUUGCUGAAGUAGUCCGUGGUUGUUACUGGGAGAAUAUAUUCCCAGUAUUGCUUCUGGUUGCGUUUGAUAGCCAGUUUACUUGUUAGUUGGAAAAGUACUUCUAUGCUCUCUCAUUUAUUGAUGCUGGUAUUUGUUAUGCUCAUAGAUCGUUUAACUGUGUUAUUCCGCAAAUCAAUAGGUAUAUUCUUGCAAUAAUCUGUUGGUUUUACUUCCAGGAGGGAGAGAAGUGGUGAAUGUGGUAGAGACAUUAGAAUGGUAGAAGAAAGCAAUGAUGUCUGGAACUAAUUUACGAAGGGGGAGCCAUUCUUUCUGCUGUACUUGCUGUUCCUUGUGUGUUAUGUGCUACACAUUGUUGGGGAGAUGGAGACUCUUAUUUAGCAGUAUACCUGGCAAUGGAGUAAUCUUCUUGUGAUAUCAAUUCAUUGUCAUAUUUUAGCUCGAUAGUAGACUGGAUUCUAAUAAUCAGAUCCAAAUGAAGUUUGAGUUCUAGUUUCAUGAAUGGACGAUAGGCAAGCGCACAAGUAUUUGGAAUUCAGGUGUUCAGUUUUUCGAGCCAGCUUUAAUGGCAUUCGUGUUCUAUAAUUGCACUCAAUUCCCACAUCGCCUGCGAGCAGAAAAGCCAAGCACGUUAUAUUUGCUCUUCGGGCAGCAACCAACGUCCCUUCGGGGACAUUCGAUAAAAUUGGAACGAUACAGAGAAGAUUAGCAUGGCUCCUGCGCAAGGAUGACACGCACAAAUCGAGAAAUGGUCCAAUUUUUUUGGGCUUUCUCCUGCUGAUUUUGGUCCAAAUUUUUUUGGGCUAUUUUACAGUGAGUGUUAAACUCAAUGACCCGGCUUUUCUGUGAUGAUUGUGGGCUGUGUUGCAUUGUGUGUCAAAUAUUCCGCGACUUUGGACUGCUCUGUUCAGCGUCAGUCUUUGCACUUGCGAAAUUCAGCUAUUUUUGCUUUUCUUUUUCUUUUCUUUUUUCUUGGCAAAAAUCUAGUUUUGCCUUAAUCAAUAGAAAGACUUAUUAAAUCUUACUGUCGAUGUAAGAAUUGAACUGAUAAGCGAGUCGUAAGAACUCUUGUAAGCGAUUUAUGAUAUCAUAAACCUGCUUUGACUCGUGAUGAUAAUCGAAGCUGAAUUCAUUCAAAUUUUUUAUUGUCAAAAAAAAAAAACUUGGUAUGGCUCAAGUCCAAAGAAGAAAGAAAGUUAUCCGAUGGAUCCUUAAAUUUACGGGUUCAUCACGACCUCGAGUUUGGACUAAAAAGUAGGAACCAGUUAGACUAUGAUGCCAUCAAAAACAGUACAUAUAAAAUAUCUGCAGCAACCCCCUGGUUCUUUAAGAACCGCGUGUUACAUGUAUUACAGCAGGUAGAACUUAAUUUUUAUUCAAUGAAUGCAAAAAUCGUUAAUAAAGUUUUUUGCAACUUAUAUUUGGCUUUAUUAGUUUUUUUUUUUCCUGAGCAGAUCGCGUUAUUAUCCUAAAAGGGACAAGCAACAAUAUCACUUGUCAUGUGCUUCAGUUAUUGUGAAUGGCACUCCAUUUACUCUGCAAUUUUUGCAAAAUCACUUUAACAAAAUGGACUAUCAUUAGCAAUAGCUGAAGUGGCAAUAGCAGUAAUUAUCCCACUGCAAAUUUGAAAGUCCUCAUGUAAUUUUCAUUAAGCAAAAACUUGAUUUCCUUUAAUUGGGCCACAUUCUGGUGGUCUAUUGCUUCCGAGUUCAGAAAAGUCGGCAAAACUAGAUGGCCCAAUAGGAAAGAGCUUGCUGACCUGACGAUACUGAAUUCGAAGCGAUCAACUUUCCUGGCUUAUGGCUUGGUUUCUCCUUUCCUUAUCCACAAAAUCAGUCUCUAUGGAGGAGAAAACAGACAUAUCAUGAUUUAUGAAAGUUAUUGGAGAAACACCAGCAGAAACAGAGCUAGAAUACAACCGAAUCAAAUGUGGUCAAGUCAGAAACUGAUGCAGUACUCACCCCAGUUACUUCAACCCCCAGCACUACCUCCUUCGCAAACUCAAACCACAAGUAUCAAGCAAUGCUGUAAAGUCUCACGCAGAGAACUUGCAAUUUGUACCAACUCAUCUUUGCUAUUACUCUUAGGCUCACAGACGGUGGAGCCAUUGCACCAUUCAAGAGCAAGAGCGGAGGAAAUUGAGGAUACAAGUAAAGAAACUGAACAACUUGUGGAAAGUGAGGAAAAUGAAGUUCCUAGGAACACUGAACUUGUGGAAAGUGAGGUUGCUCCUCGAAACACCGAACAACCAGUCGAAAGUGAGGAUGAUCCUCAAAAAACUGAACAACUUGCCCCAGAAGACGAUUCAAAGAAAACUGCAGAUCCCUGUGGAGAACAAAAUCCAACCCAGAGGGCAUUUCUUGAAGUGUCAAUUGAUGGCGUGCCUCUUGGUAGAAUUGUGAUCGGGCUAUACAGUGAUAGUGUUCCAUUUGGUACAGCCCGAUUCAGUGAUCUUGUCAGUGGUGCAGCGGGCAUUAGUUAUAGAAGAAAAGAAUUUGUUAAGAUCACGCCAAACUAUGUCCAACAUAGUGGAGUGAGAUCAUAUGGUGUUGAUGCUGAGCUUGCGAGGAAGGCUGGAAGCAAUUUGGCUGCUGACAGACUCACAGAUGAAUGGGAGAAGCAGUAUGCGGCUUGUCCAGGGACAAAGAAUUUGGCCAAAAGCAUUGGCAUUGUAGUGAGGGAUCCUUCAAAACCACCACCCAAGUUGAAAUUGAUUGCACGCAAAGGGAAGCUAGAGAUUGAUCAAGAAAAGGUGGGAGCGGAUCCUAAUGGGACAGAAUUUGUCAUUGCUAUUAAAGACUCGCCUGAACUAGAUGCAUCAACAUUAGUGAUUGGAAGAGUAUUGGAAGGAAUGGACGUUGUUGAGAAGAUUAGCCAAGUGAAGACAGUACAGGAGAAUACCAGUUCUCCCUAUUUCAGGUACCUGUUGUACUCUCUCUGCCUAACAAUACCAACAUGACAUUACAUAGAUGAGCAACUCUAUGCACACACAAUAGGACAAAUAACAUACAGCAAAUGAUCAUUUUCCUAGAUACAAUUUGAAAUUAACAUUUCUUCUUUAUGAAUUGCCCACCAGGGUAGCAAAGUUGAUAGGAGACAAAAGGGCUGUUGUAGCAGAGAGAGGCUUUAAUCGACCAUACUCAAAGGUGUUGAUUACCAAUUGUGGGUUGAUAAAAUGAAUGAAGCCCCUAUAGAUCACUUAUUUCCAUUUUGUAAUAGAGGACAAGAUUGUGCGGGGAAAUUCUUUCACAUUGAUGAUUCUCAGUAAAUUUUUGUGCUGUCAUAAAUUGGAGUUAUGCAUACAUGGACAGUACAGCUGCAAUCGCAACAAGCUGAAAAUAAUGAAAAGCUAUUACACUCAUCCUUAAAAGGAAAUCUUUAAAUUCAAGUAGGCAAGAAAAACUAGAAAAGCUAAGUAUGCAUACGUAAGUGUGCUUUCCUGAUUAGCUCUGCAAUCUCACAAUCAUUUGACAUGCUACAAAGUCAACACUAUCCCAGGCACUAGCUCGCAUGAGUAUGCUUCGUUCUUUUUACAGGUGGGGAACUGAAAAGCUUUCUGAUUGAAGCAAUUGGAUCAUCCACCUAUAUCAAAGAGAGGACAUAAGAAUGCAUUUGACACUUAUACAUUUACAAAGGAGGAAGCCAAGUAGACAGAGAAAAUUAAAUAGGCUAAGACUGCGGCUACAAGACAAAGAAUUCACCCAACAAGCAUUUCAGUUUGGAACCGUAUCUCAAAUGGGUUUAGGUAAAAUUUUACAUUCUAGGCUGAGUCAUUUGAGACUAAGAUGAAAACUGGGUGCAGCAACUAAGAAGCAAAUUGAUACAGAUGCUGUACGUGAUGCUCUUAUUAUCUUGGAUCACAACAUUGAAAUGAUAGUAACUAACUAUUCCAAGUGUUAUGCAUACUCAUAUACUGUACAAGGUGAACCAAGUAGCAUAAAAUUCUAUGAUUAGGAGCAUAAUUCAAGAUGCUUGUUUAGCUACAGCAGAUUGAAGAGUACCAACCAGAAAAAUACAUGUACCAGUAAACCAAAAUUGCAGACCACGAUAAACACCAAAUGCGAACUAUACUCUCUAAUUUUGGCAUGCAUAUUGUAAUUACUGCUGCUAUUGUAUCACUUCGUCAUUUACCUCAAUUAAGGAAGAUGGUGGAUUUUCAGCAAAGGACUCCGAGAAUUCUUUAUGGCGUUGUAAAGCAGACAGAGUUUGUUUCCAUCCAGGAGCAGAAUUACCAAUGGAUGCAAUCCACGGACAAAAAAGUUUGUGCUGCCUGAUCGGAUCGAACUCCAUCGAGUUGUGCAGUGAUUCUUGUUCUGGAUUCCUUCCUGUAGAACAGCAGAUAAAAAGCUUACCAAUAUUUUUCAGACUAAGAACUAACCUCUGAACCCUCUAGAAGUAGACCAGAUAAAAUAUCAGUAACUACUUUUUUUACAUCAAUUGCUAGACAGUCAAAAUAACAUGAAAGUAGGAAAUGGGUAAGAACCUUUACAGUGUAUUAUAUAUGUUAACAUACCAGGACACAUAUCAUGCUUCACAUAUAGUAUGAUGUUAUAUGCAUCUGGGAAAACACCAUUCAAUAUCAUAAAAUGUUCAAGGUUGAUAUGACAAUUUCUCUUAAUUAAUGGGUACAGAAGCAAAAAUCAUAGAAAGACCAGAAAAGAAGACACUAUUUUUUUCUUUGUCAAGGUAAAAGUUCAGAACAUGAGACACUGCAAAAAACAAAGAUAGCUCUUUUACCCAAACUAGUGUGAGGAACAUUGCUGUCUCCAGCCUGCCCUCCAGACUCCACAGCAUUGUUACUUUCCUUAUCACCUGGCAAGUUGUCAUUUUUGCAUGUGGCAGUCUCAACGACCAUCCCAACAUUAUUUUUGACAUUACAGCUGGAAAAUUCCCCAAUUUGUGACCUGUUACAGUCCUCGACUACAGAAUCAACUGUCUUGGCACUACCCACAUUUUUUACUAGCAUGUCAGCACUACCCAAACCUCCUCCUACAACCUCCAUGUUUUCAAGUUGUUUUUCAUUAUUGGAAACUGGUUCACCAACUUGAUCAUUUGCCUGUUGCGAUGUAUUCCCUUCCACCAAUGCCAUUUCUUGGUCUUUACAGACCAUAUAGUUGGUGGAAAAUCGAGCUCUCAAAUUCCGUCCAAUCAGAGGCAAAGAUAUAGUUGCUCUAUAAUUUUGCUUUGCAGGUGGAGGACCACCAGCAAUUGUCAAAUUCAAAGUACAUGUUUUCUCAUUUGAAGAUGUAGAAGCCGCAAAAUCAUUACGACCCUCAUUGCUGGAAAAGGAGCUCCCAGGAGCACUAUUCUUGGAUUGGGGAGUAUCAUUUUGACCAUCAACUUCAGUAUAUCCAACCAACCUCAGAAACUCUAUAGGUUGUGGAACUGAAGAAAAAGCCCACAAACCAAUACUAGCACCACAAAGCCUGCACUCAAAGACAACGGAAUUGGGUUCAUAGAGAACUCUCUCAGAAGCCUGAGAAUCAUUAACAGCCUCCAAAACCCCUUUAGCAGAGGAACGGAUGACACUCAGAUUAAGCUUAUCAGAGGCUAGAUGAGGUUGAUUUGCCAAAUUUACAUUGUUGCUAGAAUCUUCUUUUCCAACCUUGCAAUCAACAAUAUAAGGUAAUGAAUGAAAUUCCCAGCCAAAAAGACUGAUUAGCUUUUGUGCCUGCAAAAUACAAUGUUCAUGUUAAUAAACAUCAUAAGAUAGAAAAUUCUAGAAGGUUAACCAACUAACAUAAUGUUAGUACCAAUACAAAUCAUGGACCCGUUCAGUUCAAACCAAAAGCAAAAGUCACACUGCUAACAAAUACAAGAAUCCGGGAGUAGCACUAUUAUUAGCUGGUCAAGAAAGUGAAAUUGAAACAAGCUCAUGACAGAUGACUCCAAAGGAUCUGUCUGACUCUGUUUGUGUAUGCAUAAACACACAUUAAAUGGAUAGCUUCUUAGCAUUCCAUCAAAUAUACAAUUUAAACAAGCUUUGAGCUUCAAGAUUGUAGAUCGUAACAAAAAAUAAAUGUAAUGGGCAGAAAUUGAUGAAGCAGCUAACAAAUACUGGCAUUAAAAGACAAUCGAGCUGCUGAAAGUCAUGCAAAAUGGCUGAAGACUAUUCUUUACAGUAAGAUAUUAAAUAUCCCUCUACAAGUGCAUCACUUGCAUACGUAAUGUUUGAACCUGAUAGUAUGAAGCAGAAGAUGCUGAAGGAGGGUUAUUUAUGAGACUUCUACUAGCAUCAGCAGAUUUAUUCUUCUCCGCACCUGAAGGUCCUCCAAAAAAUUGCUCCAGCUGAGGGCUUCUUAUGUAAUCAAUGGCGGAAGGUGAAAUGAUUGGGAGAGCUGAAAGCUGCAAUAAAGCUGAACACCUUUUUUUAUAGUCAUCAACUAAAACAGCAGUUGGCUUUGGGGGAAACUCUGCAAGUUUUUCGUCACAGAUAUUGUCCACCCAUGGGCAAAGUAGUUUGUGCCCAGUAUCUAGCUUCAAACUGAAUACCAAGGCUGCCUUCUCAACUGGUAAUGAGUCACCAGGAACACAGUAGAAGAGAACCAAAAAAGAAAGAAAAGAUAUCAGAGAGAAACAAAGAAAUGAGUUGCUUCACAAAUCAGCUACAACAUGAAGAAUAAUUUGCCCUCCACAUAGCAGAAUGGUAAAGAGAAUCGUGCUUACCUUGUUGCUGUGUCCAAGACGAUGGAGUAGAAAAAAGAAGACGUGCACCACAUGAUUCACAGGCAAGGGUAUCCAUAUCCACAUUGAUCCAACCCCUCCUAGUGCAAUUCACUGCACUAAUUGUCUGAUAUUGAUGGAGAGAAUUAAUUUUCUAAUUCUGGCUUGUCUUCCAGAGUUUGAUGGAAAGAGAGACAAUAAAGGCAAACAAUACCAAGAAAUAUAUGUCUUACUUUCAAAUGGAGAAAGGUCAUAUUUGUAAGAAUUUAAUCCAAUUUACAUACAAGAAGUUUGGAACUGCAACAUAACCCAUAUCUUAAGUCCACUUAAAUAUUUAUGGUACCAGAUAUUAUCUCUCUACAAGCUGUACUUCAAAUCCACCAGUACAUCCAUAGCUAAAUGUACAAAUAUGCUAAAAGGAUGUUUUGGUAAGUCUGGAAAAUCUCACCUAAUUUUCUGGACAAGUCUCUUUGAAAAGAUGAACCACAGUGGAUUCUAAAUGUGGUGUAUAUAUCGGUGAUGUGGGAAUGAUGGAGUUUUACAAAAUAUAAAUUUCUGGUUUCAUGAAUAUGGAGAAAAAUGGGUGACAGAAUGUAUGAUGUUAUGAGCACCACAAUGGCCACUAAAGGCAAACAUCCAGGUUGAAACAAUUUUGACAAAUGAUGCUAUAAUUAUAUGGCAAAGUGGAUCAGCUUAUGGAGCUUCUAGCAUCUCAUUAAAAUAGGCAAGAUUACUUUAUGCUGUAACAAUGAAAUGUUGCCACGCCUCAUUGAUCUUGUUGUGGAUAUCUCAUGGAAGUUUUAUCAAUUCUCAACUAUCCGAAAAAUUUUGCGUACUAGAAUUGGAGUUAUAACUUGGAUCAGGAAAAUUUAGACAAAACUUUAACAGCCAAUGCCCAUGAUUGAUAUUUGACAAGAAAAGAAUUAAGUCUUGCAAUUUAGAACCAAUCAUCCAAAAAAAAAAAAAAAAUCCAAUUCCCAUUGCAGAGAGCAGGCUCUGAGAUUUGUACCUGUGGUUUAGCAAACCAAGUCAUGGACUUGAAAGUAGACAACCUCCUAAAUAGAUCAUCACGGUUCCAUGGUCUGCAAGAUGGAGCUUGUAUUGAACCACUUGAACCGGAUGACACCUGCAUUUCCUCAGUUGGAUUUAACCUCGAUUUUGGACCAAGUAUGCCCAAUGCAGAGGAUACAUUCGGCCAUUUCUUGCCUUUCAACCACCGAACUCCAUCAGCACUACUGUUUUAACCAAUUUUGUCAAAAAAAAAAAAAAAAAAUCAUUGGCAACAAGUUUCACUCUCUCUGGUUGUAGCAGUCCAAUUCUUAUUGACAAACACAAACACACAAAAGAAAUGCAAGAUCAAUUUCCUUGCUUGGAGGUAUCCAAUUCUUUUUGCUUGAAGCAAAAAAAAAAUAAAAUUGAAAUACAUGCACGCACACAACAAACACACACAAAACACUCCCUUUAAAGGUACAUUUUGGUAUUUCAGGUAGAAGCUUCUAUUUUAACCACUCAAACACAGUAUCAUACUCUACAAACAAGAAAAAAUCAACCAAAGUUAUACAAUAUUAAUAAUUAAUAUUUCGGCUUUAUAGCGCUUAUGCAUCAACAUUUCAGUUAUCAGCCAAAAUCAUACAUUGGGUUUGUUUGGAUAGUGUAUUAUUUGAAAUAUUAUUUGGAAUAAUUACUGUAGCAACAUUUCAGUUCACAAUAACUUCGAAAUCCAAACAAGAAAAAUUAAAAUACAGAGAAAACAACGAAGUGACAACUUCAGCAGCUAAAGUUCACUUUCAACAAAAAGAAAAAAAAAAAAAAAAGAGUACAUAAAAGAGCAAUGAGAAGCCGUUGAUAAAAAAUUGUGAAAGAGUUAUAUAAAGAGAAUUAACGAGGAAAGCUGAAGAAGAAGACCUGGUGGUGGUGGAAGCAGAGGAGCCGUUAUUAUUAUGAUGAUUAUUAUCGCUAUUAUUAGGCUUGGAUUUGGUGGUGGCGGUGGUCGGAGAUUCCGGAAACAGCCUCUCUAAUAUUGCUUCGAUUCUCUUUUGUGCCGCCAUCUCUCCUUAUUGCUAAAUUUUUUGGCCUGAGAAAAAAAAGGCUCAAAAGAAUCUGGACAUAAUAGAAUUUACUUGGAUUUUGAAGAGCUAAAUAUGGUAGUAAAUUGCUCCGGCAGCGCGCCACCCCAAAGUGAAGCUGUUAAAUUAAUGAGCUGUCCAUCGGAAAAUUUUUUGAAAUCUUUUUUUUUUUUAAACCACAUUUGCUAAUUACAUUUUUAUCUAAAAUAAAUUACAUUACAAAAACUAUUAUAGUAUACAGAAUUUGUGGAUAAAAAAAAAAAGAUUUUGAUGGUAAUAAUUAUUAUAAUUAUAAAGAAAGAAAGAGAGAGAGAGAGAGAGAAGAUUCUAGUACUAUAUAAACAUACACAGAAAUAUAUUUAUUAUUUUGAUAUCAAAAGUUUUUCUUUCAUUCAAUUAUAAGGUUUUGGGAAAAGUUUUAGUUAGGCAUUUGUUUGAAAUUUUUUUAUAUUUCUAGUCGAUUUUUUUGUCAUAAUUUUCCUAAAAUUUAUUUCUUGGUUCAACUAUUUCAUUCCCUUAAAGAAAUAUUUUAAUCACAUUCAUAAGUGGAUUCAAGUAUUAUUGUAUUUAUUUUAUUUAAGAACUUCAAGUAUUGGUAUUAUUGCUUCAAAAUUGUUAACAUUAUACCAUGUUUUGUCAACCUAUUAUUUAUUUAUUUAUAUUAGACUUAGUUGGACCUUUCUAAUGAAGCCCAAUAGUCGUAUGGUGUUCUUGGACGCUUGGACCUGACAAUGGAAAGGUCCAACAGAGAGUGUAUGACAGUAUGGGGUUGUAUCAACUAACAAUUCUUUUUUAUCCUUAGCCCAGCCCAAUUCAAAGUGCAAGUUCAAGCCCGUUUCUUAAUGCAGUUUUUUUGUGCCUCAGCUAAUCGAUCUAUCUCUCUCCCUCCGUCUCUCCUCGGCGGGGCAAUUCGGAACUAGUACGCCUUCGGUGGUGAGAUUGGCUAUUCAGGUAAGUAAUACUAUACAGUGAUUUCAGCAUUGCCUUUAGAUUAAACCUGUUUCUUAAGUUUAGAUUCUAAGUUCAAUGGGUGCUUAAAUUUACAAGUCUAUUUAUGAAAUGAAUUUCUUUUGGGAAUAAAAUCGAACAGGUGGAGGGCAAUGGAGAGCGAAGAGGAUGCAGUGAAGAAAGAACGGGUAGUGGAAGCUCGAGCUAGAAACAUUAGUCAUAAUGUGAGGUGUACGGAAUGUGGGAGUCAGUCCAUUGAAGAUUCUCAAGCUGACAUUGCCAUUUUGCUCAGAAAGGUAUCCCAUUUUCUCCUCCCAAUUAACACAACACUCCCCACCAAGUUAAAUUCAUUCACUGUGGAUAUUUAUUCAUGAGCCAAAAAAAAUUUUCCGGAGGAUAUCGUAAAUUUAAGCAAUUUUGAGUUUAGUAGUUGUAGGUGUACUUUAAUUUAGUCUGCUGAGUCGAAUUGUAUGCACGGAUAUUUUGAAUUGACUCUUUGUAAUGUUAAUUAUAUAGAGCCUUCAAGGAGCUUUGCGGACCUAUUUUUUUAUAAGCAGGGUGUUGUGAACUUAACUAGCGUUCAUAGCAUUGCAAGAUUUUACUAGUUAAUUUUUUGGUGGGGUGUCUGUGGCAGAUAAUCUCAAACUGGUGCAUAGCUGGUUUUUUGCCCUGUCCAUUCUUGUCGGUUAUGGGAUAGGUUUGGCUUAUGCAGUGAUAAUCUCAAACUUGUUUAUGGAUUAUCUGGUGUGCUUCUUAUUCUGUUUAUUUAGAUGCAUUUUGUUCGGUAGUUAUGACCAGUUUUCAAACAAAAGACACUGAGGAGUUCCUACCAUCUUUCUUCUGUUUGGUGGUGUUGUUUACAUACUCUUCUUGCAUUUUACCAAAAUUUUAUCUAGCCACUUGCUGCAUUUGUUUUCUUAUUUAUGCUUCCAUAACCUCACUCGGAGCUGUAUUGUUUACGUUACCUGUUGUAGUUAAUUCGGGAUGAAAUCCGGUCUGGUAAAACUGACAAAGACAUCUACAAAAAGCUUGAGGAUGAUUUUGGUGAGACGGUGCUUUACGCACCAAAAUUUGAUAUGCAGACUGCUGCUUUAUGGUUGUCUCCGGUCUGUAACUCUCACUACCAUUGGCGCGCCCCCUUCUUUAUUUUAGGGUUCUAUGGAAAUUGAUCACUUAUUUUGAACCUUUUCUCAAACAGAUUUUAGCUGCGGCUGCUGCUGGAGGCAUAUGGGCUUAUCAAAGGCAUAGACAAAAAACAAAUGUGCACAUUAUGGCUCUGAACCUAGUUAGAGGAGUUCCAUUGACCCCAAAGGAGAAAGAAACUAUGCUCGAUGUUCUCACACCACCCCCUCCCGAAGGAAUCACUUCUUCCUUUUGGUGGAGGAGGUGGGUUGGUCGAUGAAGUUUCUCGCCUGCAUCACAUUCACUAGAUGUGCUGAACUCCUCGGACUUGAAUUAUCACAUUACCCGGAGCUGGCAACUAACUAAUAUGCAUGCAGGAGAAAUGGUCCCUGGCCAAAGUUUCCACUGACUUGUUUCGAGAUUAGGAGAAGUAUUUUGAUUUGUCAAGUUAGUGAAAGUGUUGGAGUUAACUGGUUGUAUAUGAAAUGUAUUUGGUACCAUACAAACUUAGCUGAUGGUUAUGCUAAUCAUGUGUGUCAUUGCCAUUUGAGCUGUUAACAUUUGUGAUUCUUAAAUUAAAGGUUGCAGGAUUGAUUCUAGUGAAAUACGUUCAAGCAUAUUUCAGUGUGCUGCUAGUUUUGCAGUCUUUGGGGAUUGAUUAUUUCUGAAGAGCAUCAUGAUGGGCUCCAAUAUUUACUCCCGGAUAGAUAUUGUAAAAUGUGCGGGGAUGCGAUUUACCAGAGAAGAAAGAUUAAAGCAUAGUUAGCGAAUCCAUCAAAACCGUUCACGUUAACGAUUUACCAGAGAUCGAAUAUCUUUUUCCCACCCUUGGUAAAAGUUAAAUUAAUCUUCUUCUUGGUGUCCCAUGUCACCACCUAUUGACUUCAAUUACUUUUUUCGUUCUUGAAAAAAGUAAAAAUUUUAUAAGAAACGUGCUAAAUAAAAUUUCAUGGGCUUUUCUAUCUUUUUUAGUCGUUCAGCAUUUGAUAUCAAAAGAUUUACUCAUAUUGGCAUGUAAAAAGUAAAUAAAAUCCACAUAUUGAUGAAAAAAAAAACCAAGCUUCUAGUUCUAGCCAGCCUUGUACAAGUUUGAAUUGGUCAAGUUAAACUUGAAAAACAGUUACACCAAGUCAAAGAUAAGCCCUCCCUAAACUGUUGCAGCCACCACUCCAACAUGCGCCAUAACUCCCUCCUAAUCCCGCUCCACAACCUUCCUCUCUCCUUUUUAAGUCCAGCUUAGUACUCAAAUUUCUUCACAUUUACACUUUUCACAUCAAGAAACUCAUACAAGCAAAGAGCUCCCUCUUGAAAGUCCAAACAAACCAAAAAUGGCUUCUUUCUUCCAAAGUUUCUCGACAUGUUUCCUCCUAGUAUCCAUCUUCACUUCACUCCAUUUCUUAACAGGGAUUUCGGUUGAGUUCGACGUUGGUGGCAACACUGGCUGGGUAAUUCCUCCUUCGAAGAACGAUGAUCUGUACAAUGACUGGGCUUCCAAAAACAGAUUUAAAGUCAAUGACACCCUAAGUAAGUACUUGUCAAUUCUCCAUUUCAUUAAACUUUUUUCAAGUAGUAAUUGAAACUCAAUGCAAAUACACGUAUACAUGCAUGUGUAGUUUUUACGUACAAGAAAGAUGCGCCAUAACUCCCUCCUAAUCCCGCUCCACAACCUUCCUCUCUCCUUUUUAAGUCCAGCUUAGUACUCAAAUUUCUUCACAUUUACACUUUUCACAUCAAGAAACUCAUACAAGCAAAGAGCUCCCUCUUGAAAGUCCAAACAAACCAAAAAUGGCUUCUUUCUUCCAAAGUUUCUCGACAUGUUUCCUCCUAGUAUCCAUCUUCACUUCACUCCAUUUCUUAACAGGGAUUUCGGUUGAGUUCGACGUUGGUGGCAACACUGGCUGGGUAAUUCCUCCUUCGAAGAACGAUGAUCUGUACAAUGACUGGGCUUCCAAAAACAGAUUUAAAGUCAAUGACACCCUAAGUAAGUACUUGUCAAUUCUCCAUUUCAUUAAACUUUUUUCAAGUAGUAAUUGAAACUCAAUGCAAAUACACGUAUACAUGCAUGUGUAGUUUUUACGUACAAGAAAGACUCUGUUAUGGAAGUGACCAAGGAGGAGUAUGAGAAAUGCCGAUCGCUGCAUCCUAUGUUCUUCUCCAACAAUGGCAACACAAUCUAUGCAUUGGACCGAUCGGGUCUGUUCUAUUUCAUCAGUGGGGUUUCAGGACACUGCGAGAGAGGCCUCAAGAUGAUAAUCAAGGUCUUGGAUGUAGAAAGCACCCCUCAGUCUGCAAAUCAGACGGCAAAUACAUCAUCUCCUGCAAAAAGUGCUGCGGCUACGUAUUUUGGAACUAGUAUGAUGAUGGUUAUUUUGGCAGUGUUAGGGGUGAUUAUUGUCGUUUAAUGCUUGAUCCCAUUUUGUGAUUAGUUUAGAUGGAUAAAUGGAUAUGAUAGCUAGCAAUCAGGAGAUGAUCUUUUAACUCCUGAAUUUGUUUUCUUGAAUUGAAGAAUGUUUUGGUUCUGAUUACGACGCAUGCUUGCAUCUAUCUGGUUGGAAAUUAAUGUGAUGAUUGAUUAUUGAGGUUGGUAGUAUCAGUGCAUUUAGAUAUUUGGAGCAAGAGUCUUGUUUGGAUUUUGCAAGGCAAUAGCAGAAAUGUCUCCCACAUUUUGCAAAAAAAAAAAAAGAAGAAAAUCUAUUUCUUCCCUGCAUAGACCCCAAAAUAAUAAUUAUAAGGGAAGCAUUAACAAGAAACAAAAGCAGAAAUGUCAGAUUUCACCAUACCAGCAGAAAUGCAGAAUAAUAGAUAGAAUCAUAAGCCCUUAAUCCCCUUCUUAAUUGCUAAAGCAAAGUUAGAGAACCAUUUUGUUGCAAGAAAUUUCUGCAUGUGCUGUUCUGCUCUGCUAGUACUCUUGAGCUGGACCUUGCGGAAACCACAUGAAAAGCUAUCCCUUGAUGUGUGAAAUUCCCGAGCUUUCGAGUAAAAAGCAAAGGAACCAGGAAGCUGUCGAGCAAAAAUGCUCUUCUGAAUGCUAUAUGCUCCCUGCGACUGUAACCCAGAAAAAAUAUGUUUUAGCUUUUCAAUCAGUGGAAGAGGAAGGGAAGUUUCAACACAUCAUGAUAUGUGACAGCACUUCAUGAGAUGAAAGUAUGUUCACCUAAACAUAAACAUGCAUGGUAUUUAAAGACCACUCUUCCUUACAUACUUCAUCACAUCUAACUAGCAAGAAGAUAACUUGCAUGGUCUUUGAAAAUCAGUCAUCCUUACAUAUGCAUGAAGAUAACUGCGAAGUCGUGCAGAAGGCAGCAUGGCAUGUUUCAUACCACGAUCUGCAUUGUCAAGAAGCAAUAACUAGUUUAGCGAAUGAGUUCUCACAAUUACUUCUAUUUUAUAGAAUAGAAAUUCUUAAAGUGAAAGUGAUUGAGCCAGGGGUUAAUCACCUUGGAUGACGUGAAUGGAAUUCUCUCUCUCAUCCAAGACCACUUUUACUGAAGUUCUGCAACACAAAAGUAGAAAAAAAAAAAUCAUAGCAAGAAUGAAACACUAUGCCCAACUUACUUACAUAUCAAAAGCAUUUAAUUUAAAAAACCAUGCUUUUGUGGAGGUGCUUGCAGUUUAAUUUGGAUUAAGUGAACAGCACAAAUCAUAAGGCUUCAGAAAUUCGUAAUGUUCAAAAUUUAAAAUGCUCUUUGAGAUCAGCUUUACAGGGUGAUGGAAGGUUAAUGUCAAAAGCAUGAAUUUGAGGCUUUAUACAGCUCCAUGUGACUAAUUCAAGCUAGUUUACAGACAAGACAAAGAGACCAUUGGUAUUUUUAAUAUUUGAAAAUAAGACAGGAGACUUAUUGGUAUAGUGACAGGAGAUUUGUUGGUAUAGUGAACUUCUAAGUGUAAUAUGACUUUCUAGACCUGUUGAUAAACAAUAAUUUCUUAAAUGAUGCCCUUCUAAUCGCAUAUAUACUUUGACAUUUUCAGUGCUGAUUAGGUGCUUAUUUGACUUAUGUGGGAUAUUAGUACUUAGGUUACUUGUGUUUAUUUCUCCCGUCUCUAUCCUUCGUAUUUUAUGAAUUCCUAUUAACUGUGUACUUCAUAUGCCAAUGGAUGCUUAGAAAGCCUGUAGUCAGGAAGUUAAACGAUGAACAGAGUGCAGCUUUGGCACGGUUCAUUCAUGGUAAAAGACGCUACUCUUCUGCUGUGCCACCAUUUCACAGGGUAGUUGUGCAUGGUGAUCCCUUUGCUGGAGUUAAAGCAGUGAAAGGAACCGCCGGAAGGGUGCAGCCGAUGAGGAACUUAAUGAGGUGGACUGCUAAUGAGUUGGUUACGAAGAGAAUCAUUAGGAGGAUAAGAGGUGUUUAAUCGACGAAAUCUUGACUCGGCAAUGGUGACAGGAAUGGCUUGAUCCGCAUUUUGUUUUUGUUCCAUGUGGACAACUUCGCCCAAGGAACUGAAGAAUAGUAACUUUGUGGUCAGAUUUAAGUUUACUAAUCUUGUUUGCUUCUGCAGUAUAUCUUGAUUCAUCGCCGGUUAAGCUGUGUUGUUAUUCUCUCCCUGGAUCAGAUUCAAAUAGCCAAGAAAUCUUUUUUAUGUUUGACAUAUAAGAGAUACAUGGGCUCGCUUUGGUUGGUUUUGAAGCCUUGUAGUGCACAGUUAUUGUGAGAAAAACGGAACGAAUGCUGCAGAAGAAAAUCAGCAAUUUUAAACAAUAACUACUCUAUUGCAGGACAUUGGACGGGGGUUCUAGACUGAAAGCUGAAGUCUUUGUAUUCUCUUGUACUUUUUCUCAAUGGACCGCUUGAGUCCAAUAAUUUACAGUCGUUAGCUGGGAAUUUGGUCUUUCAUAAAAAAAGUUGUAAGGAAUUUUCUAAUUGUUAUCAACGGGCACUUGUUAAUACAUUUGAAUUCCACUCGAUAAAUAUAUGCAAUCAUAAUUAUUGUGAUAAUUAUUGCUCUCUCUCUCUCUCUCUAUAAAGGUGAUUACACUGUGUUCACCAAAAAAUACUUUACAUUUUCGCUUGUUUUGAUAAUAUAAUGUUGCAGGCACUAAUUACUAACUAUAAUUGCCUUACCUUGUGACUAAAACAUCUGCAAGGUGAUUUUUCAGAAAAUAAUUGAUAAAGGCAUUAUUAGUUGAAUAAUUACAUUGGACAUGUUUUUAGAUGUAAAGCAAACUAUGGUUAAAUAUCUCAUUUCAAAAUCCACGCAUUGUGAGCAUUUUUUUCAUUGGUUAUUAUAUGCUUUUACAUAUAACUAGAAAAAUCCACAUGCUCGUUACAAACUAUACGUAAUAGAAAAACAAAAAACAUAAAUAAAACAUACAUUUUGGUCUUGAAUGUUGUUACAACAAAUGUUCAUGUAGAUAAAAACUUGUCUAAGUGACCAUAUAAGGGGGAAGGGAUGGGAUAGAUGGUAUCGGGGAAGGAGUGUAAGUGAAAAGUCUUACUAAUUAUGAUACAAUAACAUUAUUAGUUAUGUGGCCUUACAUUUAUGCAUAAUAAAUUCUUGUUUUGCAUUCCUUGAAUUUCUUUUUGGAAUAGUUGUUAGAAAAUCUAAUUAGAAUGCAGCGCCUCUUAAUUCCAUGAGGUUCUUUUCCUUCUUCCUCUUGGGGUGAUCGUCAUCUGAGUCACCCUCAUAAGACGAGGAAGAGGACUCUUCAGGCUGUUUUCGAGAAGACUCAGCCCUAUCCUUACCUUUCAUAUGCCUGACAAUCUCUUCAAAGAGCUCUGGACCUCUACAUGAGGUUGUGAGUUCUUGGGGAUGUCCUGAUCCCUUAGAUCGGCUGUACAAUCUCCGGAAGUUUGGGGGUUCUGAUUUCCACGAUUAGAGCGAGUCUUAGCUAUUACAGAGUAGAGCAGCUAUAUUCACUUCGUUCCCACAGACGACGUCAAUUGUAGAGUCACGAUUAAAACUCGCGAGAAGACUGGAGAUUGGCAAACUCUAAUUCGGGUUUCCUAUAUGAGAUCAAGAGCAAAGGCGAGGCUAUUCCUCCGAUUUGACUUUGAUACUUAAGUUAGCAAGAGUUGAUAGUUUGGGAGCAAGAGUUGAUAGUUUGGGAAUAAAUUACCGAACAGGAGGGCUAAGAAGCAAUUGCCUCUAGGGUUCAGGAAGAGGGAUAUUUAUAGUAGAACUUGAGAAGCAUCCUUGAGGUUCGAACCGCAUUGAUGAGAUAGAAUGCGGCGAUAGAUCAGUUAUAGGUCUACUGUUGCAGGAGCAUAGGCCUGCAAAAGAUGGAUGUUAUCGAGAGAAGAAAUGUAAGCGAGAGGUCCCAAAUUUGAAACCUCCCACUUAUACUAAAAAAAGAAAAAGCUACUAAACAAUAACAUUAUUAGUUAAGUGGCCUUAUGUUUAUGCAUAAUUAUAAAUUCUUGUUUUGCAUUCCUCAAAUUUCUUUUUGGAAUAGUGGUUAGAAAAUCUAAAGUUUUUCAAUUGAAGAAUGAAAAUAUUUAAAAUUUACUUCUGGGCACAUAUCUCAAUCAACUCAAGUUUAUGCAUGUAAAAACAUACUACCUCUUGUAUUAUCAUUUUAAGUACCCCUAACGAAAUGAAUGAUGUUUAAAUAGAGUAUUAUUUAAAAUAACUAUUGUAGCACUUUUUGCGAUGUGAUGUAUAUAAGAUAUAAAGAUAGUUAAAAAUAUAAAAAGAUGGGUUAGAAAAUAUGUUUAUAAUGUAAGUGAAAUAUUAUUUGAAAAAUUUUGUUAUCCAUUCAUGUCUCUAAAAUUGUUGGUAACAUAGUUGGAUUUGACAAGAAUCAAGUACUUUGGAUUUGCCUUAAAGAGGGCGGGAUGGGAUGAAUGGUAUCUGGGAAAGAAAUGUAAGUGAGAGGUUCCGAAUUCGAAACCUCCUACUUAAACUAAAAAAAAAAAAGGCUACUAUACAAUAACAUUAUUAGUUAAGUGGCCUUACGUUUAUGCAUAAUUAUAAAUUCUUGUUUUGAAUUCCCCAAAAUUCUUUUUGGAAUAGUUGUUAGAAAUAUACUACAUAUCUCAAUCAACUCAAGUUUAUGCAUGUAAAAACAUACUACAUCUUGUGUUAUCAUUUUAAGUACCCCUAUCGAAAUGAAUGAUGUUUGAAUAGAGUAUUAUUUGAAAUAAUUAUUGUAGUAUUUUUUGUGAUGUGAUGUAUAUGAGAUAAAAAAGUAGUUAGAAAUAUAAAAAGGUAAAUUGAAAAAUAUAUUUAUAAUACAAGCGAAAUAUUAUUUGAAAAAAUUUGUUAUCCAUUCAUGUCGUUGGUAACAUAAUUGGAUUUGAAAAGAAUCAAAUACUCUGGAUUCACCUUAAUAAAUUGUACUCUAGAUGCUAGUCAUAAUAGCUCCUAUUAAAAAUUAUUUUCAAUUAAUGAGAGAAAGGAAUACAUUAUACACACAUUUCUACUUGAAAUAAUUGAGAGCUAUCUUAUAUAUUGAUAAUGACUGAAUGGAGUUUAAACUUUGAUAGCCAAAAAACCAAAAGAAAAACGAAUUAUUGUUAAAAAGGAAAAGAGAUCCUUGAUGGCUCCAACAAUGUAUUUAUAAUGCUGUUCAAUUUGUCUGUUUUCUUUCUCGCAAUACUGGAUUAGAAUGCCUUCUUUAACCCCAUCAUAUGUGGUGCCGUAGCUACAUCAUAUAAUUUGGACACAUUAGAAAAUUUCAAAACUUCUUAUUUACUUCAAAAUGCAUGGGUAGAAAGCACAAUUAGCUGAAGCCUUAAGGACUGUUACAGCAAUUUGUUCUUCUAUACAAGAUACCCUCAUGUUGCCGCUUUUCUUGUAAACGAACCUGACAAAACUGGCGGCGGUCUGCGGCGGUGGAAGAACCAUGGCUACUGAGAAAAACCCUAAGUUAGAUUCUUCCAAAGAAGGCGAGUCAAUUAAGAAGAAACGACAUCGUAAGAGAGGCAAGAAAUCGAAGCAGUCACCAUCUUUACUCCCAGAACGACCUACUGAAGCUACUGAAGCUGAAGAACAAGAAGAAGAAGCUACAGAGAAUGAUGAUAAAUCUGAGAAAAUAACUAAUAAGGAGAAGAAGAAGAAGUUGAAGAGGCCAAGAGAAGAUAAUGAGGACGACAAUGCAGGAGGCGGAGAAGAAGAAGGAGAAAAAGAAGAAGUGGAGGAGAUUAUGAAAGUGGUGAAGAAUAUGGGGACGGGGUCGGGAAUCAUGAGCACGGAGGCGUUCUCGUUGUUGCCGAUUUCAGAAAAUACUAUGAAAGCUAUUAAAGAGAUGAAUUUCGAAUUUAUGACCCAGGUAAAAUAACUUUCUUGCAAUUCUUAGUGCUUAUGAAGUUUAGGUUUUGUAUAUUAAGCAGAUAGUUGUUGGAUGGAUUAUUUUGCAUUUAGUUCAGCUAUUUCUAGUGAAUUGAACUAUUGAGUGUGCCAUGAGGUUUAUAUUAUAAUUGAAAUUGUGAAAUUUGGUGGUUUAAUCCAUAACUGUAUCUUUUUUGGGCAUGAUGAGCUUUGAGUGUGUGAUUAGAGUUUACUACGUUUCGGCCUUUUUCCCUUUUUUUUUUUAAAAAUAUGUAUUGAGACAGUUCAAGUCUUUCAUGCUUCGAGCAAAUUCGGGGUAGAAAUAGGGUCAUUUGUAUGUUGGUAUCUAAUUGAUAUAGUCCAGAAGUAAACUGGUGCAGAUUAAAUGAAUUUAAGAGAACGGCAUGAAGUUUAAGCCUUCCAUUAGGAUAUAUAUAUCCUAUGAGAAAUGUGCAAAUUUUGUUAUUGUGUGAGGACACAAUUUAAGCAAAUCCAGUACACUUGUUAUAACUUAUCAAGUUCCAAUGACUUUGAAAUUCAUGAUGUAAUCAAUAGGAAUUUCUUUGUAAUGUUUCUGCACGCUAAUAUUUUUUUCUUAUGAUUGAAGAUCCAAGCCAGAGCAAUUCCACCACUUCUUGAGGGUGAAGAUGUACUUGGAGCUGCAAGGACGGGUUCUGGUAAAACACUUGCUUUUCUGAUACCAGCUGUGGAGUUGCUACAUCAAAUUCAGUUUACAGCUCGGAAUGGUACUGGUGUUGUUGUCAUUUGUCCAACAAGGGAGCUGGCCAUACAGGUACAGACUUUCUUGCUCUUGUUCAAUGGCCAGGCAAAAUGAUUUUGCCUCUCUUAUUUUAUAAAACCUCUGUUAAACGUCAUCAGGAAUGUCCCACAGCUUUCUUAAUAUCCAGCUGCUACCCUACUUGUUUGGGAAAGAAGAUGCAGAAAAUGUAGAUGCAUUUUCUCUCUGAACCUUAAGUGGUGUUUCUCGUCUAUUUUGGUUGCUUUGAGUAAGUGUAGCCAUAGCUGACUCUGUUGUAGCUAUCAGAGAUAAUUGCUGUAUUAUAUGUUUACUGGAGCAACUGAUAUAAAGUUUUGGUACUAGUUAUCUCAGGUAGCAAUAUGAGACACUUUAUUGUUGCAGUGCAUCUAUGUAAGCCUAGACAAUUGAAUUUGCCAGAUAUUCCACUGCUACUUCUGCAAUGCAUGGAAUAACAAACUUGAGAGUCCUGUGCACAUUGAUCUUCCUCUACUGAUGCCCUAUCUAGAAUAGAACAACAUCUUAAUAUGGAGUUGUACUGUAUGGGGUUGUACUGUAUGUUAGUGACCAACUGAACCCUGGAUCACAUGGGUCUGACUUUAAGCAUCAAUUAAUUGAUUUUUUAUUCAAUAAUGCAGACGCAUGCUGUAGCAAAAGUUCUGCUUAAGUAUCACUCGCAGACUCUUGGCUUAGUUAUUGGUGGUGUGGCACGACGUGGAGAGGCUGAGCGUAUUGUGAAAGGAGUAAAUCUCUUAGUAGCUACACCUGGUCGUCUUCUUGACCAUCUCCAAAAUACCAAGGGGUUUAUUUAUAAAAACUUGAAGGUAAAUUUACGUUAUUUUGACUUUAUGAUCUAUGAUUUUCAAAUUUUUUUUUUUACAUAAAUCCAAUUAUGAGCAGUUACAUGGAUGCUGCCUGAAAUGAAGUGGGAAGGGAACUUGUUGAACUCUCUUGUGCAGGAUUUAACCUAUUAAAAUUGUGAAAACAUUUCGCUUUUGGUGUUAAUGUCUGAAAGGAUUUUUCCAUUCAACUGGACCUAUAGACAAGCCUGAAGAUUAAUACUAUUUAAUCAAAUAAUUUCCUUAGUUGUGUAGUUUGUAAACAUCCAGAAAGUUUGACUAAAGAUGGAUCAUUUUUUUUUUAUUGAAUGAUGUGAAUUGAUCAUUUUGGUGCAGUCAAUUUGGUCAUUUUUAGACCUGUUGAAGUUUCUUUUCUGCUAAUUCAGCAGAGUUGGAUAUGUGUCUACAGCUGCCAAAAAAAAGAAAAAAAGUAUAUGGCUGCAUAUUGCCUGGUCUUUUUUCCACAACCCAGGUUCCUGAAUCUCCUGAUUAAUUGGUGGCUUGAAUCUCUUUGGAGAUGAAGUGCUUUACUUAGGAGUUCUGAGCUAAAAGCUUAUAAUACAAAACCCAAAGAAAGCAUGAUUCUAGGUGUUUGCAUCAAUCGAAAGAGCCUGAGCUAGUUGGAUUAUUAUUUUUUUUUAAUUUCCUCUUUUUCCUGACAUGUUUCUUUCUUUGGAAUAUAUAUGUAAUCUGUUAAAGAAGUCAGGGAAAUGCUAAUAAAUGUUCUCCAAUGUCAGAGCUGGAUGAUAAGACGACUAUUACAUUAUGUUGACAAUUUCAAAAAACUGUUAAUACUAUGAUCAUAGUAUGAUGGCUGUUGCGCAAGUAGGCCUCCAUCGUCUAGUGGUUGAGGACAUCUCUCUUUCAAGGAGGCAGCGGGGAUUCGACUUCCCUUGGGGGUAGGGUACUACGAAAGGAAAUUAAUCAUGGAUUAUCAAUAAGUCUAAAAGUGAUUCUUCCUGGGCCAAUGCCCAAGUGGUUAAUGGGGACGGACUGUAAAUUCGUUGGCAAUAUGUCUACGCUGGUUCAAAUCCGCUCAGCCCAAUAAUUCGACCAAUUUGCCAAUCCAUCGAUCACGAGAGGAUAUAACCCCCUAUCUUUCAUAAAGACUUGAUGGGGAGAUCAAAAGAACAAAAAUCUCUGCAAGAUCCCUUUUUUCGCUGGGAUUGUAGUUCAAUUGGUCAAAGCACCGCACUGUCAAGGCGAAAGCUGUGGGUUUGAGAAGUGCCUCUCUAAACAAUUCUCUUCAUCACUUAGGCUGCACUAUGAUACCGACAUAUAUAGGAUUCCAAUAUGAAUUCAUCGUCAACUUGUCUAAAUUUGGAAAGAUGUAUCUGUCAACAAACUAAGAUUAAAUCUCCUGUGUUAGAUACUAUGUUGACUGUUGCGAUACUGCACUCAAAACAUGCAACAAGCUCUAAUAACUUGUAUAGCAUAUUCUCUGUCAUCAGAAUGCUAUUAGCUGCAUUUCCUAGCUUCUCUGAGGAAGAAAGCUGCCGGAUGAGAGUACUUGCUUCUUAACUGCAAUUUUGAAAAAUAGAAGGCAUCAUCAAAGCCAUUUUUCAGAAGACCUUUGCUGGAUUAUCUUUGGAAUGGUGACUGUAUUGUGCUGCCAACCUAGUGAUGUACAGCAUUAUUUUGAUCUUCAAAUUCACAUCUUUAAGUUUUUUUUUUUAAUUCUGCCAUGUAUAGCAUCUAUUUGAAUGAAAGGCCUCACAUAUUUACUAUACUCUUAUUUGUAUGUUGAUUAUUUCUACUGGAUUCAGAUCAAGUUUCUCAUUCUUUGGAAGAUAGAUUGACAUAUUUUCACAUUUUGAUUGAAUGGAAUGCUUGCAGUGCCUCAUGAUUGAUGAAGCUGAUAGGAUACUUGAAGCAAAUUUUGAGGAAGAAAUGAGGCAAAUCAUUAAAAUUUUGCCUAAGGUACGAUUUGGUUGUAAUUACGAUAGUAUAUACAGUGCAGAUAUCCAAUUUCAAUUUCUUCCUUUGACUGCUUUUCAUUGUCGAUUAUCCUGUGAUUUGUAUUUUGGUUCUGGUUUAGUUUGGAAGGUGACACAGUCUUUAUUCAUUUGCACCUCAUAUAUCAGUAGUUUUGUCUUUUCAUUUGUCAUGAGGAUUAGAGCAAAUUUUCUGUGAUUUUCUUGCUCCAUUUUUUCCCCUUGUUUCCUAUGUUUUGAGUUGCAAAUUCUUUUAUACGUUUGCUGAGUUGUCCACAUGUUUUUUGCAUUUUUGGAUGACUUUAACUCAUAUUGGUGAAUAAUGGUCUAUGUAAAUGUCUUAGAAAAGACAUCUUGGGUGAGUUGCCAUUUGUUAACCCAUACAUAAAUGUGUAUCGAAGUUGUUCCUAUAUUUAGGCACAUAACUAGAAUUUAAUUGCUGUCUCAGAGUUGCUUUAAAUGUUUUGUACUGGUUGGUGCUAUAUUGCAGUAUGACUUUUUUCUGUGAGUGCAUUUAGGCAUAAUUGUUUUGUUAUUGGCAUUGUGCAUUGAAUUUGUACUAACGAGGCACCGCCUGAUGUGCAGACGAGACAAACAGCUCUUUUUUCUGCCACCCAAACGAAAAAGGUAGGUGUUUUCUGCUCCUUUUGUUUUCUUGGUACAAUAUUGACUAGGAAGAGACCUGUAGUUCCUGUAUUUUCAUUGGACUUCAUAGAGAAGUUAUGCUACCAUUUCAGGUUGAGGAUCUUGCUCGCUUGUCAUUUCAGAAAACUCCAGUCUACAUCGAUGUGGAUGAUGGACGAAGAAGGGUAACUGGGUUAUAUAUUCCUUUGUUAGUACUUGUGGGCAAUGUUGGUUUUUAGUCUUCAUUUAAGAUGUUGGAUACUUUAGGUCACCAAUGAGGGGCUGGAACAAGGGUUCUGUGUUGUCGAAAGUGCCAAGAGAUUUUUACUACUGUACUCCUUUUUGAAGAAGAAUCUGACGAAGAAAGUGAUGGUUUUCUUCUCCACUCGUGAUUCCGUUAAAUUCCAUUCUGCGCUUCUGAGAUACAUACAGAUAGACUGUCUUGAUAUCUAUGGAAAGCAAAAGCAGGAAAAACGAACAUCUAGCUUUUUGGAAUUUUGCAAAGCCGAAAAAGGCAUCUUGUUAUGUACAGAUGUUGGUGCACGAGGUCUUGAUAUACCCGCUGUGGUAUGUCCUCGAACUAGUUCUUUUUUAUCCUCGUAAAGCAUUUAGCAUGAAUUGGUUCUAAGGGUGUUGAAUACUGAAAUGUUGUUUUGAUAUGUCAUUAGAAAAUAUAGAUACCCUAGAACUAGAUUCAUCAUUCCUUUCCCUUAUGUUUCACAGGAUUGGAUCGUGCAGUAUGACCCCCCUGAUGAACCUAAGGUGCAGAUAAUUCAUCCUUCUUGUAACUUUCUUGGUGUCAGAAUUGCCAGCACCCAACUUUAGAUGACGUGCUUAUUCUCAUGCUUCUUCAUGUUAUCCCUCUCAGGAGUAUAUUCACCGGGUUGGUAGGACUGCACGUGGGGAAGGUGCAAAGGGGAAUGCCCUACUUUUCCUGAUGCCGGAAGAGCUAAAGUUUCUUACCUAUCUGAAGGUAUGUUCUCCUGUUGCUAAUAACUCAAAACAGGAAGUGCUAUAAAUGGUUAAAGAAAGUAGGAAUGCUAAAGCCAUCAUCAUACCAAUAGAUCAUGACUUUUCACAUUGGGACAUGUUGAGAACCUAAGAAUCUUAAGCAAGGCUGUCCAUUUUGAUAAAUCCUUUUUCUAUACCUAAGAGAAAAAUCAUUGGACCUUUCUCAGACAGUUUGAGUUUCAUUAGUAAUUUUCUUAAGGAAGUAGAGAGAUUAGAUUGGGUAGAAGAUGAGGGGGGAUCUUUGUUGCCACAGGGUAGUUUCUUUGUGAUUGUGUUAUAGAAGCGAAAAGUUUCUUAGACAAGUCUCUUCAAAAUCUACCAGUAGGUUGUGAAAGGCUGCAUGGGAAGCAAAUAAACUAUAUUAAUUGGCGCUUUAGAUUUUCUUCUAUGCUGUAAUAUACUAUAAUUUAUCUAAACGCUUUUUAUGUCAAUAAUUUCAGGCUGCUAAGAUACCUGUCAAAGAAUAUGAAUUCAAUAACAAGAAAUUGGCAAAUGUGCAGUCUCGCCUGGUAAUUCUUCUCUGCAAGCUUUUAUUUUCUUUCAGUAUCUGAGUUAUUAUUGGAUUGCAGAGUUAUUUCCUUGAGCUCACCUUAAUAGUAAUGGGUUUGAUGCAGGUAGAGCUGGUCUCUAAUAACUAUUAUUUGAACAAGUCUGCUAAAGAGGCUUAUAGAUCCUAUUUACUUGCCUACAACUCACAUUCUAUGAAAGAUAUUUUUAAUGUUCACCAACUUGAUCUUCAGGUAUUUUAUUCUUUUCCUGUGUUUUUACUUGCGAAUUACUCUUUGGUGGAAUUGUUUCUUUACAUUCUCGUGUAAGUCUGCGUCUGGUGUCAUUAUUCGACUCAUUCUCAGAUAAAACAUUCUGUUAUUUAGGAUAGCCCUUGGAUUUUUUUGGCCUUGGAUGACAUUAUGGGUUCUUAACUUCCUGUUCUGGAUCAAAUUAAGCUGUACCUUUCCUUUUUUUUUUUUUUUUGGCCUAAUGAGUGCUGGGUUUAUGACAUUCUAGAAAUUAGGCAGUACAUAUGUAUAGCAUGCUUGAAUGUUUUAAUUUUAAGGGCCCGUUUGGCAUUGCGGUAGCUUAUUGAAAGUACUUUCCUAGUAGACCUUUUAAUAAAAGUACUUAUUAACUGCUCAAGUGCUUUUAAAUAUAUUGUUUGGUGACAUAGUUCAAUAAGUAUUAUUGUUUAAGAUAAUGUGUAAUUUGAAAAUUUUUGAAAGUGUUUUAUCUCUCUAUUUGGUUCAUAAUAUAGGAUAAAACGAUUAAAUUUGAUGUUUUAUUUUUUUAAUCACAAAAGCUACUCUAAAAGCACCACAUUUGGGUUUUUGCUAAAAGUGCUUUUAAGAUCAAAAGCUCUAUUCCUAAUUUUAUGAGAUGAUGUUCACCAAACACUUUUAAAAGCACUUUUAGUACUCUUAACACCUAAAAGUGCUUUUAUACCAAAACCACCGCAACCCCAAAGGGGACUUAAAUCCUUCACUUUUCCUUUCUUGGUUUUCCCUUUUUCCUCUGAUCUUUCAGAUGUUGGAUGGAAACCAACCUCUACAAUUGUAGAUUUGGAUGCUUUUGUCGUUGUACGUAUAGAUUUGGAUUGCAGACUUUGUACUAGAUGGAUGAUGCAGAAUACGAUCUGGAUUGUAUUUUUGAGUUCUAUAAGAAUACUUUGAUGCUGCGUCGUCAAAAUCUAGUUAAUCCUUUUGUCUUUUGCAGGGUGUGGCUGCUUCAUUUUGUUUCUCUUCUCCUCCAAAGGUAAAUUUGAAUAUAGACAGUAAUGCUUCCAAGUUUCGGAAGAAAAUGCGUACCCGAAAUGGGUUUAGUGCGAGCAACCCGUACGGGAGGAAGAGUGAAGGCGAUGUACGACAGUUUGUCAGAUAUUAACAACAUGUCCGACGUCUUACUACAGCAGCAGCAGCAGCCUUGGACGCAUCGCGCCAAUUUUGUAGUGUCAUGUUAGUUGAGUUUUUAUUUGUGAGCCAUAAUGGUUAGUUUUGUGUUGAAUACAAAGAAGUGUGUUGUUGUUCAAGGUCACAUAUCUUUGUGUUAAAUACUUUGGUUUAUUCUAAUUAUCUUUUCUUACAAUAUAUUUUUAGCGCUUUUCCAUUUUGGGAGGAAAAACACUUGAAAUGCUCUGUUCCAUAUUCCAUUGAACGGUUGAUUUCAUCUGAAAUGCACUUUGUUAAUUAGGGUGCCAAAUUGGUCUCAUCAUUCCAUGCUUGUGUUUUCGUAAUAUCAAUAAUAAUACAUAAAAAUAAAAUCCAAUGUAUGAUCUUAUGCUUUACCAUGUCAUCAUCAUUAUUAUUGAUCAAUUCGAUUGUACAUGUCUAUAUAUGUUUUUUUUUUUUUUGAUUAAAAGUUGAGACCAUUGCAUAUAAUCAAUAGUAAUUACUCAAUAAUAUUUUAGUUCUAACUAAAAUGUAAUGAUGUAACUUAUUCUGUGAUGCCAAACUAUACAUACAUAGUAGACAAAUAUUAACAUCACAUAUGUGAAGACCAUGGAUGGAAUUGAUACUUUAGACGUUUAUGAUCUCAACUAAGUAUGUAGAGGAUGUAAUUUACAAUAUAAAAUUCUACCGCGGUAAUAGUGGGAUAUUACUAUCUAUUAAGAAUUAAAAAGAACAAGAGGAAAGAAUUUGAUCAUCAUAUUACUGGAAGGCAUAAAUUAGUGCUCAUGAUUAACUGCGUCAAAUUCUUAAUUUCCUUUUGGAGUUAUAUAAUUACUGUAAAAACACCUAGGAAUGAUGAUCAGCAUGGAUAAUUAUGUCCAAUUUCUUAUCCAUAUGCCUAUGAAAUGCAUGAUUGCAAAGGGCGAAAAAAGAAGAAAAAAUUCUCUAAACAAAGAAUAACAUGUAGGCAUUUGACUUUUAAGUUUAUACAAUAUGAUAUCUUUUAAUGAUAAAGACAUCUUUAGGCUUUUAACAAUUUCUAAAAAGGUUAAAAGGUCAUUUGUUGUACCACUAUGGCACUAUCUAAAGCAAAGAUUCUCAGUCAGUCCACGGUGAUUGGAUAUCAUCUACCGUCGAUCUGGAUGACCAUUCUCCACAUCUACUCAGGAUCAUAUCUUCUAUAGGUAUCCUUCUCGAAGUGUUCAUCAAGCAUGAUGCAGUUGAGGUACACCAACAGUUAAAAUACCCUUUGCUUUCUCGUUGAAGCACAAAUAAAGAAAAGGAAAAUAUUAAAUGGACCCCAUGAUUCUUGCUAACUGACCGUUUUGGGGGUUCUGACCGUUGCAAACACCCAAUUGAAAAAUUCAAAAAAAGGCCCACCCAAUUUUUAUUUCUACCAGGAACACAUGCAAAAGCUGACAAGUAAAAUAAAUUCUUAUGUGGUGUGUAAAAAGUAAAAAAUUAGACUGCCCCUACAGUACCCUUUUGUUGUUAACCGUUAAUUUUUCUCCAAUCAACGGCUGUGAUUUUUUCUCCAAGAACCUGCCUAAAUUACGCACAAACCUUGCAUCUAUCCGAGUUUUUCCCCCCCUUUGCUCACUUCAACUGUUACAGCUGCUGCUACUGCAUUUUCAUCCCCCCAAUUUUCAUAACAAGAUCGGAACUUUCUUGAAAUUCAAGCAGUUUCAGCACAAGGGUCAUCAAGAAAAUCUCAGGGGCAUGUUUGGAUUGAAAGAUUGUUAGCUAGAAUGCCAGUGUCCACAAGGUCUAAGGCUGUAUUCAAUCAAGUGCAGGAUGACCCAAAUCAAGGCCAAACAACCAGGGCAAGAAAUGAUCAAGAAGAAUCCCAGAUGGCUAAUCAGAUGAGGAAUCCACAUCAUGGUCUAAAGGAGAAGAUGAAAGCAUUGACCCUCUUGUAUGAACAGCAAAAACAAGCUUCAAAUGCUCUCAAGAACCCUGCUUUAAAGCAUGAGGAGCCAAGAUUUUCAACUCACCCCAGCAUAGACCUCCUCAGUUCUGGCAAAAGAAAUGAUAAUGAACCGAAGGAAUCCAAAGAAUCAAGGCCCAUAAGUCAUGUGAUGAGGGAGAACGUAAUGCCUAGUUCAACCGUGACUAGGAAUUUUGUGAUGCCACAGCCUUUAGGGGUGGAGGAGGCAAAGGAGAAUGUUGCGGUGGGACAUGGCGGUGAUCAGAUUGUGGGGCUUUCAUGUCCCAGAAAGACAAAUGUAUCGAGUACCGUGGCCAGAAAGCUGUCAAUGGGCAGCUCUGUGAUGCCAUUUUCAGAGCCGCCUAGAGGGUACCAAAAGGCGAAUGAACAAGAAGUAGAGACGAUUACCGAGAGACAAGGGAGUGUUGGUGGUGGGAAUGGGAGCAGAAUUCUUGUUUUUGUGAGGUUAAGGCCAAUGGGGAAAAGGGAAAGAGAAGCUGGAUCAAGAUGUUGUGUGAGGAUUGUGAAUAAGAGGGAUGUUUAUCUGACUGAAUUCGCCACUGAGAACGAUUAUCUCAGGCUAAAGAGGCUUAGGGGUCGUCAUUUCACUUUUGAUGCCUCAUUUCCUGAUUCCACUACUCAACAAGAAGUUUAUUUUACGACGUGAGUUCGAUAAUACUUCCAUUUUUGUUUUCAUUAACUUGUUAAAUGGCUUUUUUCCCCUUCUUCAUGUUUGGCUGGAUUUGGAUUUUCAAUUUUCUUGUGGACAAUUUUGGAGAAUACUAUAGUUUGCUGGCUUUUUUUUUUGUGGCUUCCUGUGUCUUUAUAGUAGGAUCCACAUUGAGCAAGCACUACAGUAGCCAAUCUAGCAGUUACUAUGUUGUGCAUUUCAUAAAGGUAACUUGGUUCUGACUGAGAGUAGCAAUAGUGAUAGCUCUUUGAAUCCCUAAGAUUCUAUUAUUGAUUUUGAGUUCUUACCUCACAUCUUAAAGUCUCGUUCCUAGCUAAACUUGUUCCUUCUAUUAUUGGUAAAAUAUUCAGCUUCCAGAACUCUUAUGUAGAAACAUAACCAGGAUAAAAAGCUAGGACUAAGUUAGAUGAUAGUUAUAGCCAGAAGUAUUCCUCACUUUACCUUCUUAAGCUUAAAAGGAAGAUAGCUUAGUGAGAUGGUUGAUCAUCUAUUACUGGUAAAUUUUCAGAACAGCAGAGCUAGUGGAAGCAGUUUUGCAGGGUAAAAAUGGAUCUGUCUUCUGCUAUGGUGCCACAGGAGCUGGAAAGACAUACACGAUGCUAGGUACAGUAGAGAAUCCAGGUGUAAUGGUCUUGGCAAUUAAGGAUCUCUUCAACAAGAUAAGGCAAAGAAGCUUUGAUGGAAACCACCUUGUUCACCUGUCUUAUCUUGAGGUAUACAAUGAAACCGUGAGAGAUUUGCUUUCUCCUGGAAGGCCUUUGGUCCUUCGAGAAGAUAAAAAUGUAAGUACCUAGUUAAAAUCUACAAGAUUUUCUGGUAAUGAGUCCAUUUAAUAUCAUGCAUAAGGGUUUAUUAUCUCUUUUUUCUUUCAAGUUAAUUAUGGUAAUUAUUGUAUCCUUCAUUUUAUCGUCAUUGAAUUGGUGAAAAUUACAAUAGUAGUUAUGUUGGUACCUUCUGUUUAAGAUGGUGAUUGUUUCCUUUCUGCCAAAUUUUCCUCAUGAGGCAGACAUUUGAGUAUAAAAACAUUUCCUGUAGAUUGGUUCAAAAUAAUUAACCAACCUGAAGGUACAAAUAAGCAAAAAAUUUGCUGGAACUACAAAUGCAUAGAAUCAUCCUUCUUUUAUUGUGUUCUGAGUUUGUCAGCUAAUUUCAAGUACUAAAAUUGCUGAAUUUACAUCCAUUUGAAAUCAAGCUUGCAGCUUUUGUGUUGCCAAUCAUUGUGAACAGCAUUUUAAAGGCUCAACAAUCUAGCAUAUGCUUUUGUGUAAUCAUGUAAAACUUGCCAUGAAAACAUACUAGUAUGCCAAAUUUCUAUUUAAUACAUGAUUUUAGUAUCCUGGUGCAAAAUUCAAUUACUUUCUGGAGAAAUGAUUUACUGCCUUUACUAAAAUUCUAGGGGAUCGUGGCUGCUGGGCUAACUCAAUAUAGAGCAUACUCCACAGAUGAAGUAAUUUCCUAAACUCCUUUAAAUUAGUAGAAGAUCAAAUUUCUACUUCAUCAAAGAACUACAAUCAGACCGUUUUGCUGUUUAAUAGGUAAUGGCUUUACUCCAACAAGGGAACCAAAAUCGAACAACUGAACCUACCCGUGCGAAUGAAACUUCAUCAAGGUCUCAUGCUAUUCUUCAGGUAGUUGCGUUUCUACCUUCCAUUUAAAUCUUAUGCUUCUUCUAUUUCCUGACCGUUUUCCGCAAUUAAUAUUACACUCAGGUUAUGAUUGAAUACAAAGUCAAAGAUGCUGCCAAUAAUAUUGUCAGUAGAGUUGGUAAACUUUCGCUUAUUGAUCUUGCCGGUUCAGAAAGAGCUCUUGCAACAGAUCAGAGAACACUCAGAUCACUUGAGGGUGCAAACAUUAAUAGAUCACUUCUUGCACUAAGUAGCUGCAUAAAUGCCCUGGUUGAGGGAAAGAAGCAUAUCCCAUAUCGGAAUUCCAAGCUCACCCAACUGCUCAAGGAUUCUCUAGGUGGAGCUUGUAAUACUGUGAUGAUUGCAAAUAUCAGCCCAAGUAAUCUCUCAUUUGGUGAGACACAAAACACCCUUCACUGGGCUGAUCGGGCUAAAGAAAUUCGGACAAAGGUGUUUACUUUGAUUCCUUGGUCUUUUGUCCUUUAUGAAUUAUUUCUUUAUAUCAUCUGUUAAUGAAACAUGAGGCUGUACCUUUUCAUCAGGCCAGCUAAAUGUUUUGUGUAUUAGUGCACCUACCAAAUGCAUUGACUUUCAAUUGAUCAAGUAUGUACUGGUUUCGUAGAUUAAGCCAUAUUUUCUUUGUCAAUGGUCUUGGCUUCUGAUCAACUGCAUAAAUUUGUCAUUAUGUUUGUUACUUUGUUAUUUAGAUUUCCAUCCUCCCGUUAUUAUUGUUCUUCUUUUUCUCCUGUUCAAAAUAAAUUGAACUUCCAUUCCUGGCAGUAGGUUUUGUUAAAUUUUUUUCAUUUUUUCUGGGAUCAUGUAUCUUAGUUUUGAAGAAAACUUUGAAUAUUCAUCAAAUUAUUGCUAAUACUUCCAGGUAGUCUACCUGAUUAUCAGUUGCCUCUGUUUCAAGGAUCAAAAUCACAGUUUUUAUAUUUGCAGGCUUGUGAUGCCAAUGAAGAAAUUCAAGUACCUGAUUCAGAAACAGAUCAGGCCAAAUUAUUGCUGGAGUUGCAGAGAGAGAAUAGAGAUUUGCGAAUGCAACUGGCUCGCCAACAACAAAAGCUACUAGCAGUCCAGGCACAGACACUGGCAGCAAGCUCUUCUCCUACACUUUCUACUGCUUCAUCUCUCUUAUCUCCAGCACCAUCUUCUGCCCUACCACAUGAGAAACGUAAACCGAGACCCUCUUUCUUGGCGGGGACUUGUUUCACUCCAGAAUCUAAGAAAAAAGGAGCUGAUGAAACAGUGAGAUGCCUAAGGAAGACUGUCAAAGAAUUGGAGGCAGAAAUAGGGAGGAUGAAGAAAGAUCAUGCUCUGGAGAUAAAACAGAAGGAUGAUUUUAUCCUGGAGCUUUCACGGAAGGGUGCAAAAUUAGCAGGAGCAGGUGGGGAAGGAGUAAGAAGGAUUGUCACUAGAGCAAGUCUGCGGCCAAAGAAAGCACCCGAGGGAGAGUUGAAGAGCCCAAGUCAUCGUUUUACGUCUCCACAGCCUACAGCCAAAAAACGGAGUUUUUGGGACAUAACAACAGCUAACAGCCCAUCAGUUGCUACGUUAAAUGGAAGAAAGACAAGAAGCUAUAUUAGUUCAGAGUGUGCAGCAGCCCCAUCCAUGCUUCUCCAGGUAAAGUUUGCAUUCUGUUUGUUUUCCGAUAUUUAUAGUUUGAUGAAUUAUAAUGAUUGAAAGAUUUCUACUUGAAUUUUGAUGUAUUAUGUUAUGCUUAUCUUCUUAAUUGGAUUGGAUAACAUGAUGACCUAAAAAUUCCCUAAACAAAACAAGUAUACUUUUUAGUUUCUUUUUUCUGCAACUGAUGCAGCUUGCAUAUCCAUGUUUCUGGUCUAUGUUCCUGCUUGGACCACAUCUCAUCAAUUAUAUCAUUCAGCCUGGUUUUGCCCGCCAAAGACCUGCAACUGUGAAGCGGUAGAAGAUAAAAAAUGAGAGCUUUGUGGCAGAACAAGUUACAGUGAGAGGCGAAAAGUGAAGAUGAAGCAGUUGACGAUAAAGAUAGAAAGCUCUGCCCGCCUUCCUUGCUAGAAUUAUCUGCUCAAUCCGAUGGUCUGACAAGGAAGCUGGAAAUGCAUACUGUUUUAAGUACACGUGUGAUUAUGAUUUUUCAUCCGCUAUCUCCUAAGAAUAGAUGAUUCAUGUAGAUUCUUGCUUUUCUGUUGAUCUUGACAUGAUUUCUUCAAUCUACUUCACCAACAUUUAUUCCUUAGGCUGAUUUCUAACAGUUUGUCCUCCCCUGUUGUUUGAAUUCUAUUGAUUCACUAUUGUAGGACAGCCAUUUACAAUAAUUUAUUGGUUAUGUUUCUACUUUGCUUUUUAGCCUAUCUUGUGGAAAAUUUUUCCCCUUGCUUUUUCUGUCAAUAAAAUGAGGAUCGAGUCAAGAAAUUGGAGUUGAUAAUAUAGUAUUCACCGCGGUAAACUGUCCAUAACUAAAACAGAAUAUGGGUGCCUGACCAUGUCUCAUGUUCUCAUUGUGCAUGGUUCAUAACACAAGGAUCAUGAGACCCUUCUCGAAAUUUUUUGUGACCUGAACAUGGACUUAAAAUGUAAAUCCAAAGGGAGUUCUGGUGGUGCUUGACCAGCUACAGGAUCGGGACUAUCAGAGCUUUGAAAACAUGGAACUGUGUAUAUAACAUCAUAGAUUUACAUUAAUAAGAAAAAAAACUGAUAUACUUCAAGAAAUAAGAUGAUUAAGAAAGAUUGUCGUGCAGUAACUGUACAAAUAUGAAUAACAAAAAGAACGCAAUCAUUGCCAUUUUCUAAUUGUCUGUGUAUGUACAAUCACAAACUUCAGAUAAGUAUGAUAAUUAGGUUGGGUGGACGCUCGCAAGGAACUGAUGGGGCAGGGGAUGAGGGAGUAUACCCUUACCCCAUCCCCUAUCCCAUCGCCCGCCUAUAUAUAUAAUAAAUAUAUAUAACUAUUAAAACUAUUUAUAUAAUAUAUUUAAUAUUAUUAGUUAUAAUAAUUAUAUUAUAAUUUAUAGUAAUAAUCAUACAUUUAUAUUAAUACAAACUAUUGAUUAGUUAUACUAAUAUAUUUGUACUAAAUUACUAAUUACACUUUAUUCUUUUACACUUAACUUUUCACAAUUUCACAAUUCUUUUAUAUAGUAUAUUGUGUAUCGGUUAUGAUUUAGAUAUUUUUUUUGGUAUUUAAAAUACUUAAUUAUUGGCCCUAAAAUUUCGUUACAAGGCAAAUUUUUAUUAGCUCCCACGAGUGCACGAGGCGGGGUGGGGGUAACCUACUCCCGCCCUACUCUGCAGCCAUUCCUAAUUUCUGCUGCUUAUUUUGUGAUUUUGUGCUUUUCAAAUGUAUGCAACAUCUCCUUGAUUGGAUUUCUUGAGAUAACUAUUGGACAAUGGAAGUUAGAAAUUUUUAGAUAUUAAUCAGGAAAGGUAACAAAAAUCACCAGCACUCAGAAAACGCCAUUUAUGCAAGAAAUAAGUCAAAGUUUUCUGUCUAGUUUAAUCAAAGCAUAGUUAUGGUAUAAACGUGAAUAUUAAUCUACCUUUAAUCGUAUUAAUUGCGUUAAAAGCUUCUAAUGCGAUGGCCCUCAUUUCAUAUUUUUGCUAGUGGCAUGGUUUUCUGUAAUCUUAAGCUAGCUAUAUCAGCGAUAAGAGACUAAGGAGACAUAAUGGCCCUUCUGUUCUUUAACGAAUUUGUUUACAUCUUUCGUACUUAGUGAUCCAAGCACGUAUGAUCAAUGCAUCAAGAAAUGAUUGCUCAAACCAUGGCCACCUCUUAUGCUUCAAUUUUUUUUUUUCUUUUUCCUUAUUUAUCUUUCAUUUUUGUAUUCCUUCUUUGUUUUGGAUUGUAUUCCUUCUACUUAGAAUUUUGGUUAGAAAGAGAAAGAAAAGAAAAUUUUUUUAAAAAAAAGAACAAAGAAUAGCAUAUUUAUGUAGAUCUUUCUUUUGUAUUCCUUUCUUUCUUUUUUUUUUUUCAAAAGAAUCCCUCUCUUAUGUAGAUCUUCUUCCCAAUUCCACCAAAUAAACAUACUCUUAUAUCUGAAUACUAUAUAUGUGGGGUUUGGGACUGGGUUUAUCAAUUCCAAUGACUUCUUGGAUGAUGUAUUUUAUAUGCACACGAAGAUGAAUACAUAAUACUUAGUUUAUUUCAUCAAAAUGAUGGUCAGGUGCGACAACAGUACUACAGGCCACACAUCCAAUUAUAAACGUUUUUAGUUCUCAAGAACAAGAAAUUUUGCACCAAAGCAUGCUGUUUGUCGAGAGAAGAAACUGUGCUGCACAAGACUAGACUUUAAGCAAAGAUAUGAUGCUCCAGAAAAUCAUCUAUGCAAUCAGCAAAGUAGGAGCUAGGCUCUUCAAGUUUCAAUGAAUUAGUCCAUAAACUAUAGACAAGUAGGCACACAUUGCUAAAAGGAAUUUCUUAGUCGAUUUAGCUAUCAAAACCAGGUGAUGAGUGCUGAUUGGCGAGGGUGGUCUACAUAGAUUUAGGUUGGUAUUAUAUAACCAUAUGAGAUGAGAACCAAGUGCAUGCAUUUAGGUUACUUUUAGGUUUUAAUGGAUUUUUUUUCUUGACAAUGACAAUAUGCUCAUUUGCAGGUUUAAAUGCAUUUCAUACGUGCAUGCAUUUGCAGGUUUAAAUGACAAAAUAUAUAAUUACAUCACUCGAUUCAUCCUUUAAAUAUUCUAUUGACGAGCAUAUACAAUACGCACACAAAAUACAUAUUAGGGUUGCAGAAGAAAUUAAAAUAGACAUACGAAUAUCAUUUACCUAAAAGAAAAAUUAUAGUAACAAACACUUGAAACCUUUCUUAGAGAAGCCAUAGCUCACCAAGAAGCUUUGAAGUUUUUUGAGCCUGCAUUGACUGACGUAAUUAUAGACAAAGCAGCAAGACAAAGCUUUAUGCAUAGCAAGCAACUUUUGAAUCUUUGAACCAUAAUCUCCAAUUCUAUCUUUCCUCCCGUUGCUGUAAUCUGGGGGAGAUCCUGGAACAUGGCCCCUCCAGCCUCCAGCAGCUUCUCCUUUUCCACUUUGGAUUAAGACAACAUUACAAAGCCUUGAAAUCAGGAUGUCAUGCCUUAAUAUCAGUAACUAUUGGUUCUCAUGAUGGCAAAACUCUAUUUUUUUUCUUCCCUACUUACCCCUUUAACGCAUAUUUUGAUGCUGUAGUGGCUUAUAUUUGUCAUAAUUACGUUAAUCAGUGGAAACUACAGAUUGAUGAAAUGAUGUUAAACAAAGUUUAGUACAAUUCAGCGGCUUAUGAAUCAUUUUAUCCAGUCAAAGCAUUCUUCAGCAAAUAAAUAUUCUAUAUGGCUUCUUAGUCUUAGUCAUCACUACAGUCUUUUUUUUUUUUUGAAGCAAAAAACUGUUUCCACAAAUGGGUGAAGUAUAUCCUCGUUUUCGACCAAUAAAUACUUAAUUUUUUUAAGCUUAAUUUGAUGAUAAUUUGCCAAUAAGUACUAGAGUCAAUGCUUUUAGUAGCAAUCUUGUCCUCUCCCCCCAUGGUCUUAAAGGUUCAUAAAACAAACUAGCUGCGUUGUUAAUUAAUUUUGUCGACCCAAAAAGCAAAGAACAAAGUGUAACAAAAAAUAUUAUUCCUAUGUGUGUUGCAUAUACUUUUAAUUGAAAUUGUUGGAGCUUCCUUCCCAAAUUUAGUUGUUAUGAAAAUCCCUAAAAUUUGUGUAUAAAAAUGGUUUCUUUGCAACUGAUCGAUGACAAAAUCUUAGUCAUUCUCCUCAACACAAAGGUGAACAUAACAAUUUGACUGAUCUACACUUCUGCAUAACCAAUUUAUUUGCACUUGCCACAGAUAUAGCAAAUGUUGACAAAAGAAUUUGUGUCUUAUGUACCUUCCUAAUUAAGUUACAAUGUUUAGAUUAGUUGGUAUGUUAGUGUUUUAAUGUGAUUGAUUGGGAACCAAGAAUUCAAUAAGUGUGGCGCUCUUUAGCCUAUUAACUACUCAUUGUCUGAGUCAAAAAAAGAUGUUUCAUUGGUACUUCAAAGAAAUGAGAUGUUUACUCAAAUGUGUUUUUUUUGCUGCAUUGUCGUUUAAUACAUGGUAUCACAAAUAAGCACAGGAUAGGUUUGGAACACGUUUUCCAAUGAAAACAAGGAUGCUUCCCCAUAGCUAAAACUCCAUCAGUGGCUGAUGAUAGCCUUCAUAUGGGUGCUGAAGUGGAGGAGGAUACAGGAAGUGGCACCAGGUUGCAGCCUCUAUCGAAGUUUGAUCCCUGCAGGAGACGUGGUGGCAGUGGCGAUGAUCCUCUUCUGUUUCAGCCUGCAAGAUUUGUCAAAUAAAUUGGUUAAGCAGUCACUUGUAUUCCAUUGCCUGUGGAGCAUGAAAAUGUAGCUGUGACCACAGGGGAUCAUGUAUUUUCAUGAAUGUUAUGCUAGUUUCGACCUGAUCUCUAGAUUUAGUUGGUGAAUGUUUUUUACAUUUGGCACAAAAGUUUGCUGUUCUGGUUAGCUUGUCUCAUUCCUGGCAUUUAUGAUGCAGAAAGCAGGGAAACCCCAAUUUGAAUAUCUUAGGAAUGGUAAGAAAUGGUGAAGAAUACUUUCAAAGAUAACAAAGGAGAGAUCAAGUAUCAGGAAAGAAGAAGGGAAUGUAUAGGAGGAAAGGUGUUGGUUUUUUGGGGCAUAAACUAAGAAACAACACCUUAGUGUUGCAAAAAAAGCUUAUAAGAGACUUGUAUUGAAGGUAGAAAAUGAGCUUAUAUUCUACAUUCAUCAACUCACUAUUUAUAGUGAUUAUAUGAAACAAACUAUCAAAAUAUUCAACUAAUAAUUAUCCUAAAAAUCUCAACAAAAUAUAAUCUUCUACUACUAGCAAAUCUUAUCUAAAAUAUUUGUUAACAAACCAACAUGAUCUUUGGUUAACAAAUAUCCUUAUUUUUUAAUAACUAAAUUAUUUUGAUAUCAAACAAAAUCUAGCAAAAUAUGUAGAAAAAGUUGCAUAUUCCAACACUCCUCCUUGCCACUUUUGCUGCAAAUUUUGAAUUGUCUUCUCAAAUCUUUGAAUCUUGUUUUGGACGAGACUUUUGUAAGAAAUUCUGCAAUUGAUGAUUAGCCUUGCAAUGAACUUCUUCCUUUGGAUUUUUAUGCAAGCUAAAUAUUAGUCUUGCAACAAGCCACUUCUUCUGUCUUCUCAUGCCAAACUCCACAUAAAAGAUGAUUUUUUUUUUUUAUGUUUCCAAAUAACCUUAUCAUAGGUUUAAAUGAAACAUCUUUUGACGAUAUUUGAACCUAUACAGAAAAUAUGAAAUUCUGCAUGGUUCUUCAUUUUGUCAUCACCAUCAAAAUCUGUAGACUCAAAAACAGAAAUGUUAUAAUCUUGAUAAAUAUCAGGAAUCAAUUUGAUACUUCCUGACUUAUCAAUGAUCUCCUCCUGAAUUUUUUCAGGAUCUGAAUUCUUGAUUUCAUCAUCAUAUUCCACUUUAGAAUUGUCAAAAUCCGACCAAUUCAUAGUGAAACUUCUCCUUUUUAUUUUAAUUGAGAAUAAUUUAUUCUCAAUCAAAUCAUUAGCCAUUAUCUUUGUGAAAACGACAUCAAAAACUGAUAUGUGAAUGCUGGCCUUGGAUGUCUGUCUAAUUGCAACUCUGUGGUCUCUAAUUUGUGUAUCCAUCAGCUCUUCAAAUGCUGGUGAAACAAAAUUCGUCUCCACCAUAUCCCGUAGAUCAUUGACUACCAAAUAAGUCCAAAAUUUUAUGGCCCAAAUUUGGUAAGUUUCACCACUAAAAGUUGAAACAUUUGACAAAAAGUUCUUUCCUGUCAUGGCUUUGAACUUAUAAAGGAUCCUCACCAAUGCAUCACUCUCAAAAAAAGAAGACUCAGGCCCUUAAGAUAUAGGCUCUUGAUACCACUUUGUUGGUUUUUUGGGGCAUAAACUAAGAAACAACACCUUAGUGUUGCAAAAAAAGCUUAUAAGAGACUUGUAUUGAAGGUAGAAAAUGAGCUUAUAUUCUACAUUCAUCAACUCACUAUUUAUAGUGAUUAUAUGAAACAAACUAUCAAAAUAUUCAACUAAUAAUUAUCCUAAAAAUCUCAACAAAAUAUAAUCUUCUACUACUAGCAAAUCUUAUCUAAAAUAUUUGUUAACAAACCAACAUGAUCUUUGGUUAACAAAUAUCCUUAUUUUUUAAUAACUAAAUUAUUUUGAUAUCAAACAAAAUCUAGCAAAAUAUGUAGAAAAAGUUGCAUAUUCCAACAAAAGGUCUUUAGCCCAAUUGUUUACAAGUCACAUCUUCGGUACUUAGUGAUCCAAGCACGUAUGGCUAAGAAAUGAUUGUUCAAACCAUGGCCACCGCUAUGCCUGAAUAUUGUUUCUUCCUUUUUCCUUCUCUAGCUAUCUUUCCUUUUGCUUUCCUUCUUCGAUUUUUUUACUAUAUUUCUUCCAUCUAGAAUUUUUGGGUAGAAACCGAAAGACAAGACAAAGAAAAGAAAAACAUAGAGUACCAUAUUAUAAUUUGAAAAAGGAAAAAAAUGGAAGGAAAUUGAAUAAACCCUAAAUUUGCACAUAUAACUCGGGGAAAUCUAGUCCCUCUUCACCCAAAAAGUAAACAAAAAAAAAUCUAUCAAUUAUUAUUCAUUUUUCUUCUAUCAAAUAAAUUAAAUCCCCUCUUUAUCUUUUAUAAUUUCCAAUUCCACCAAUUUAAUACUCUUUUUUUUUGUGGCAAUUUAACAUACUCUUUUAUGUUAAUAGUACUAUAUGUUUGGGGUUUGGAUAUGGGUUUAUCAAUUCACACAAAGAUGAUGAAUAAAUCAUACUGAUUCAAUUCAUCAACAUGAUACCAAGGAACAACAACAGUCCAAACAUAGCAUUAUAAACUUUUUCUACUCCUCAAGAACAAGAAUUUUUGGUGCCGUAAAGUGCUGUUUGUCGAGAGAAGAAACUGUGCUGCACAAGACUCUAAACAAAGGUGCUCUAAAAAUCAUGCAUUCAUUUGACAAAGUAAGAGGGCUCUUCAAGUUUCAAUGAAUUAAUCCCUAAACUAUGCAAAAGCAGACACACAUUGCCAAAAAAGAAUUUCUCAGUAGAUGCAGCUAUCAAAACUAUGAGAUGGGUGCGGCCGGCACCUACAUUUAGGUUACUAGCUAUGUUAUAUAUGAGAUGUGAACCUGGCGUGUUUAGAUUUGCUUUGGCAUUUUCUGUAAUGGAUUAAUCUUUUUAACGCUAACGAUAAAUAGAUUGACGAGUUCGAAUGCAUGUGUUAUGUGUAUGAAACUUUAGUACAAACUAUAUGAUAAGAUGAUAAACUACUAAAAUUCACAGCGAACUGUGCACAUACAUGACUCAUUUCAUCUAAAUAGCCUGAUCAACAUUUUAUUUUUUUUCUCCUUUUUUAAGCCUGAUAAUGACCAGCAUCUAUAUUAGGCAAAAUACAUAACAAGAGGGUAAAAGAAAUUUAAAAAGAAAUAUGAUUAUCAUUACCUAUACAACAUUAUGGGCAAUAUUAUCCACCGGAACCAGAGAUUGAGGUUUUUGGAGGCAAGAUUAGUGAAGGUGUACAUUUAAUAAGAUACUCUUAUAUGUAGUAAAAGUUUGGGGGAAAACUCUAGAAAUUUUCAAAGUUUUUAAGGGGACACUAAAUGAUUUAGUAAAUUUUUUUUGUUGGGGGGGGGGGGAUCAAAAUCUAAUUUCUUUAUUAGGAUAUAAGUGAGAAUUUUAAUUGUUUUAAAGGGCUAUAAUAGGAUUGUCAAAAGCCUUAGGGGGAAGGGGUGACAGCAACAAUCCCUCCUUGUCCUCCUAGUUGAUUUGUAAUGGUAUUCUAAAAUUGUUAUUCACGCUCUUAUAUAGUAACUUUUCAACUUUUCAAAAAAGAAAAAAAAGAGUGACGAGAGAGAGGAGCAUGAAUAACAAUUUCCUUUUGGAAAUACAACUAACAUUUUUGGAGAUUAUAGUGUCAAACACUUUAGACCAAGUUAGACAUAGAUAGCUCACCAAGAAGCUUUGAAGUUUCUUGAGCUUAUCCUGCAUUGAUUGAAUUAAUUAGAAGACAAAGUAGCAAACCAAAGCUUUAUGCAUAGCACAUAGCUUUUGAAUCUUUGAACCAUAAUGACUAGAUGAUAAAAAAAAAACAAAAAACCUCAACCUCGAUUGCUGUGAACAUAAUCUCCAAUUCUAUCUUUCCUCCCGUUGCUGUAAUCUGCGGCAGAUCCUCAAACAUGGCCCCUCCAGCCUCCAGCACCUUCCCCCUUUUUCACUUUGCACUAUUAAGAAAACAUUAGAAAGCCUUGAAAUGAGGAAACAUAAGAUGCCAUGCCAUAAUAUCUCAAACUAUUGGAUCUCCUGAUGGCAAAACGUACUCUCUUAACCCCUUUAUCUAAUAGUACACAUUUUGAUGCUCUAGUGGCUUGUAUUUGUCAUAAUUACGUCAAUCAGUGGCAACUAUAAAUUGAUGAAAUGAUGUUAACUAGCUAGUAGUACUACUAUAUUCUCUGAGUUUAAAUGCAAUUCAAUAUAUAGCAAACAUCUCUAGCAUUGGUUGGUGGUAUCUUUAAGAAUAAUGAAACUUGCACUUGAUGAUCAAUUGAGCUAAUUUAUUCAUUUGCUUUGUGGGAUGGUGAUCAAGUAGAGGGGAAUCACAAUGUUACAAGAUAAUUGUGCAGGCCAUAACAAAAGAAUGGAUAGGCCGAUCCAGUGGUGGAAUUUUAAUAUUGGAAAAAGAACUGGCACAUCAUUUUACCUUCAAACAUGAUUUUUUUUUUUCUUUGAGUAUUAUUGAGUCCCUAGCUAUCUCCUUGAUUUUUAACAUAUAGGGCUAACUUUGAGAUAAAAGGAUUAAAAACAAAAAGGAUAUUCCAUCUCCUAGACAUUUGUUUGUUAUAUCCUCGAGCAAACAUGAGGGAAAGGCGGCUUUGGAUUUCUUCACAACCUGAUUCCAUUCCCCUGGCUAGGUUGUGCUCAAGAUGCUGUUUUCCUAAUGCUGAAUAUUGUCUCAUGUUCUCAGGUUGGAUCAUUUGUGUUGUGUUGUGGACAGAGGAUGACAUUCUGGCUAAUUUUUAACUAUUUAAUGAACAGGGCAAUGCUUAAAAAAUAUGGCAGGCCAAACUUUGGAGCAAUAUAAAACCUGUCAGGCAAAGAUUUGUGAUUGAGUUUGCUUUUGGUUGGGGACUACAAUGAUUCAAAGCUUUAGUAAAAUGUUGUUCUUGGGAUUCUCAUACACGUUACUUUGAUCAACUUAGACCAAACUUAUGCACCAAAAUCAAUGAUUGGAACAUCUAAUACCUUUGGAUCGGAUGCUGAAAUUUCACAGGUAUGACGUUUUUUAAUAGGCUGUUUGUCAGAAAAGCAACCUCACAAUCAAAAUAAAGAUGUAAAAGAGUACACUUCAAUGAAUUAAGGAUGGAAAACCAGACAGCUGGAAUUGAUAAUACCACAAAAAUGUCAAAAGUGAAAUCCUGUCACAAGACUGGGAAUUGGGAAAUGCUUAAACUCAAAAAACAGGAAGAGACGAUGAAUUAAUAUAGGAAAAAGAAUUGAGAAUAUGUGAAAGCAGAGGAAGAUCUCUGAUAUUUCCAGCAAAUAUGGUUUUUGUUUGUCCAAGAAUCUGCUAAGCAAUCAAAAAGUAUACAGGUUUACCGUGCCAGAAGCAGAGGAAAAUUAUGCAAUACCUAUGCUAAGACGACCUUAAAAGUUCUUCAAAGGAGUAUGAUGAAACCAGGACACCUAUCAUUGAACAUUAGAGCAUUGCCCGUCAAGAAAUUUGUCGAAGAACAAAUUCAUCAUAAGACCGCUAGACAUAAAUAACAGGAUUUAUUUCAACAUAAUCUGAAACUUCUUCACUGAAGUAAAGAAAGCAUUGGCUAUUAGUAUAUAUUACUUACUUGAGCUGAAAUGGUCCACUGUUGAUCAGAUACAACAAUCAGUGAAGAAGAAAGUUGGAAAUAGAUGUAUAAACUUAGAAAGAUUAACUAAGAAUAGAGUAAGAAACCAACUCAUGAAUCUUUUCUACAUUUAGGCAAGUAAUAUAUAGUUUCCAUUCCACCCCAAAACUAAAAAUUACAGCAAACACAGUUUCUUGACAUUCUAUAACUACAAAAACAGGGAAAGACCAUGUUAAGAAACAUCCAAGGCAACUAAACCUCAAUGUUCAUGGCAGAGUUCUGGAUGAUCCUUAAUUUCCUCCUCUACCAAAGAACGAAAAGACUGAAAAGAAAAACUACUAUCUAAGCAGCUUGCAUCAGUGGAACUUCCGGUGGAUGUUUAGACUCUAAGCAAGUAAAUACUGAGUUCAGGAGCUCCAUUGCUAUCAGGAUUCAUCAUGUAAAAUGCCUCCGAAUCUCUAGAACCAACAACUCUCUCGAACUUAGCUCUCAUGUACAUCAGUUCUCCAUCAGACUCCGCAGCAUCAUCUGCAUUUCCAGGCAGAACUCCUGCUCCCAUCGAAAUGGGCUCCACGGCCUUCAAUAUAUUCCAUUCUUUUGGUCCACAGUCCCUCCUUGUAGCAAAGCCACACCUCUUUCCAUUGCAGUAAGUCCUCCAUCGAGGCUCUUCUAGUAGUCUUGUGCUCUUCUUUUCUUCCUUGUCACAUUCCAAUGCAAUCCGAGCCAAACCAGAAGCCAUUUCACGAACCAAUCCAGUUAUAGGUGUAGCAAGCUCAAUCAAGAAGACUGGUUGUGAAUUGGGAUCCUUCUGGAAUGCAAAAUGUACGUGUCCUCUUCUGUUGCCAAAGAGUGUUCCCACCACUCUAGUGCCAAGACCUUGCUGAAAAUGCGCCCUGUGUCGACCAAAAGCCGUCAGAACAGAGCGCAGCCUAGAAACUGCUAUUGCUUGCAGUUUCUUCCUUGUAGCAUUAGCAGAAGUAGCUGCUGAUUCUUGCACCUGUUUAUCAUCUUCCCUUUUCACCUGCUCUAGAAGGUUCUUUGAAGAAUUUGAGUCUACAGGCACCUUAUCCUUCUCCCCUCUUACUUCUUCAAUAGCUUUGGAGCAGGACUUGGUUGAAACCUCUUCAUCUUCAUUACUGACCUUGGUUGUCCAGUGAAACUGCCUCUUGGAAGCAGGGUCCUGGAUAUUCUUUGCCAUGAUUGUCUUCAUCUGAGAGAGGAAAUACUAAGGGCAAGACAAAUCCUUUAAGAAUGAGUUAGUGGGAAUGGAAAGAGAAUGAGAGAGAAAAUAUUCCAAUUUGUUCCUUUUUUCCUGUGGAUUUGUAAUUUCUUUCUUUAUUUCCUUUCUCUUUUGUUUGUACUGCUUUUGGUAUAGAGCAUAUCUAAGAAUCCUGACAAAGAGAGCAUAAGCUACCCCACAGCAAUAGGAGAGAAAAGCACAAAGAUUUUUGAAAUAAAGAAAAGAAUCUGGGGAGACAUUGGUUGUGUUACUUCACUUUCUUGUGGGGUAGAUAGUGAAAGGAGUUUUGCUCUGCUGACUCUUCUUUUGACUUCAAUCUCAAUACAGCGAAAUUGGAGUGCUCACAAAUACCAGCAAAAAGAACCAAAACAAAAGAGACAUCGCCAUUCACACUGAACUGUCCAACACGUACCAGAAUGAUGUUUGGUUCCAGUAAACUGAGAAAACAUCCAGAUUCUCCUAAGGUCUGCACCAGACAUGAUAUCCCCAAAAGACUGGUAGUGCUCAGUUAUCGGCAAUAUAAUUCACUCGGUGACGUAAUGUUUAGGUUAGGCGUUCAGAUUCCCGCAUAGAACUUCAUGAGUUGUGCCCAUUUCACCAACCACAAACUUUACCUUCCUGGGGAUCAUCACUCUAGUGGAUCCCUUCAAUCAAUGUCUAGGCUUGCACACGACAGAAGUAAAUACACGCAUGCACCAGGUGAUAAAUCGCAGAAAACAUAAAUUCAAGAUAUCAAAGGGUCCAUUUGAUUGCGUAGUUCAACAAAGAAUCUGAAGCUUAAGAGAGAUUCAUUUGAUUUACGGCUUAAAGAAAACCUGAAUUUGAUGCGUAGCUUGGUGGCCGAUGGCCAGUUUCUUGCCUUAGUGCAGGAGUUGAGAGAGCACUUCCUAAGUAUUGCAUCUCAAAGUAUGCAAAACAAGCACAACAAAAAGAUGGAAAGGGAAAAGAAAGCAUAGCCAGGUGAAUAAAAAAUAAAAAAAAAACGCAGUUACUACUAGUUAGCAUCCUCCCAAGUAACACAGACCGCCAUUUUAAGCAUCCCAAGUAGGACCUAUUCUAGUGGCCUCGGAGCACCAUGUAAAGCUGGAAAACCCACUCCGGAGAAUGAUCAAAUGAUUACUUGGCCACCAUAGAAUUUAGCAACUCAUCAACUCAAUUCAGAGGGCGCAUUUUAUACUGUAAACUAUAACGUUAUCCUUCCCAAUGGCUAGUCGUCCACUACAGACUAGGCCAUGGCUUUCCAUGGAAAAGGUGCAGUGCUGCAACUUCAAUCCUCAUUCACUAAAGCUCCUCCUUGGAUUAAAUGGGAUACUAAGCAAGAGAAGCACACCGCCUGACUGCACUAACUGAGCUAAAUAUGAAACACACACACACACAGACAGGACGGCAAAUUUUAACUGACUAAUUAGUAAUUACACAGUAUAUAAACAUAAUCCGUACGGUACAAUUCUAACUCGGAACAGUAUAAAAUGUCCACUACCAAAAGCUUUUUGUACAUCAGAUAGGAAAGAGAAGCACUAAUUAACCAGUCCAGAUGCUUGCCUACAGGUUCGUUAUAAUGGAGGUCCUACAAGUUAGCUAUUCAAACUGGGCUCAGGUUCUGAGUCCGGUUGCUUGGGGACUGUAGGAGGAACAAUGGC
rnacentral:lncRNA from 1 species